rnacentral:lncRNA from 1 species
UGAAAGCGCCAAAGAAGGUCACUGCAGGGCUUAACUUUGAAACGAUUGUCAUAGAAAUGUUGACGUGCUUUUUCAACUUGAGAUCUCUCCUCAGGAGUACCAGCAUCAGCAUCAAACUCCCAUGUCUGCCUCCCCACAAAGUUAUUUGUACUGAAUAUGUAUGGAUCCUUCCCACCAUCUGCUAUCUUCAGCCUCCACAUCUUAUAUAAUAUAUCACUUUAUAACUUGCAUGUAUUUUACAAGUUUCAGCAUAUAUAUUUUAGGCAAAAGAAAAGAGAACUAGAUUGCAACUAUAUAUGAGAUUUUUGUGUGUGUAUAUGCUGAAUCACACAACAUAUAUGGAGGAGUCUCAUGCAACAAUUAUUAUAAAGCAAGCAGUGUUGGCAAUGUUCAACGGCUUGAAUUUAUGAUGGUAUAAUUUACUGUUUGAUAUAUAGGUGUAGUACUAGUGUAUAUCAUUGUGCCUCUUAUAAUGGUUGGUUAUUUGAUUUACUACCCCUCUUAUAGUAGUUGGUUGUUUGAUUUACAAUUGUACCUAAUCCACUUAAUGUAAAGCCGACCAAUGAAUAAUAGUACAACGUACGUUUGAUACUAAUAUAAUUUUGUUUGUAUAAAAGAUUCAAUUUAGUAUCGGUAAGACCAAAUACAAUCUAAAAUACAUAUUGUUAAGUUGGAUAUUUUAUGUGAUAUUUUUCAUGUUCGAAUAUGGGAACUUCUAUUUUAUUUGUGAGUUUAUGGUGAUGUUAAUUUAUCAUAUUGUCUAAAGAAAAAUAGGGAACCCAAUUUACUCGGUAAGAAAAAUAAAAUAAACUUUUAGUUCUUAAGAAGAAAAAAAAUCUGAAGUACUUAGUCCUUAAGAAACUUUUAUUGUACAUGAUCUAAUAAUUGUCUUCAUUUUUGACAAUGAUUCAUGUAGGCAAUAAGACAUGAAGUUUAUUUUCUGUUGCAAUGAUACGGUAUCUUCUUAUAUAAUGUGCAAUUCUUGAUUUUUAUGGAACUCCACAUAGAUAUGCUCCAACGUUGAUAAUAGUUAUGGAACGAUAUCAUAUGUUCUGAACCUGUUAAGAUACUAUCGUUUUGAGAUGCUCCAAGCUGUCUUAGUUUUUCCUUAGGGAUCAAAAGUUGCUUGUAUUUUCUUAGGGACUAAACUGAAUUUCACAGUUUUUCUCAAUAAUUAAAAUGUAUCACCACUCUUCUCUUUAUUUUAAAAUUUUCAACGUAAAAAUUAAGUUUAUAGAGUGAAAUAUAAUUUGAAACAUUUCUGCUGUGUGUAGUAUAUGUAUUGUUGUUGAUAUGUGAAGUGCGGGUAGAUAAAUUUUACAUUGAAUAAAAAUGAGAGUGUUUUUUUUUUUUUUUUAGAAAGACGAAAUAGCAAAGCCAUUAUUAUAAACUCACACACACAAUUAGUGGAGGUAUCGGGGUUCGAACUCCGGUCAUAACAUCCGGCCUAACAAUUUCAACAUUUUGCUAGUUGAGCGAGGACUUGUGAAUGUUAAAAAUGAGAGUGUUAAAUAAUAUAUAAGUGAGCUAAAAAUCUAUGGGAGAGUUUUUUGUUCAUUUAGAUUUGAAGAGUCUUGAAAGAUUUCUUAAUGCGCGUAAAGGAUACUAAGCUUACACAAAAAAUAAUAUAUAAAUGAGAAAUUUCAUAUAUGUAACAUUUUAAAGUUUUUGACGAAAUCACCGACAGAAGUUGAGUCAACCAGAAGAGGUUAGACUCUUAAUGUGGAGAACCAAUGUUUAAGUUGCAACCAAAAGAUUUAUCCAUAUUUAUUAUCAAAAAUGUCUCAAAUAUGAUUAUUUUCUAGUGAAAGAAACCCAUAAAAAAAAACCAAAAAAUUGCUUUGAACAAAAAGGAAUUAUGUUUAAAAGAAUAGGUUAAACUCUCAAAACGCAACAAUCAAAGUUUGAAUUUUAACUAGAAGAGACCGAGUUGUGAGACAUCAUGACGAUGUACACAAUCAGACUCGUCUCUUAAAUUCGGGUGUCAAUUUAGUAUGGCGUGUUUUUAAGAUAAUUAAAAGAAAGAAGUCGCAAAAAGAAAUCAAAUUACAUUAUUUUAUUAUUUUUAAAUAUUAGGAACACUAUCUUUUUAUGACUCUCUCCAACAGUCACUCUUCUAUUAUGUUUAAUUUAAUCCACUGUUCUAUUAGGUUAUACUUGUGUAGAUCUCACCGUUUUUAAAGUGCAGUAUCUAUGUGAAUUUCAUUCAGUAAUGAGUAUGACAUCUUAGAAAGAGAGUGUUAAUUUGGUUUAUGAGUAUGACAUGUACUUGCAAAACAGGUGGUGAUUGUACCUUGGUUGAUUUAGAUGUACAUCCAUACGCUGAGAUCAAUUCACUUCAAUAUACUUGCAAACAAAACAUUAUAUUGAAUUCUGUCUAUUGAAAAAUAAUAUGAGUGCCAUAAAAAUCUAAUCUCUAAUCUGUUAUACCUUCGAAAAGGGAAAGAAAAAGAUAGGGGACCGGUUCAUUAAGAAUGAGAAGAAAGUACACUACACAUUACAGAUGGAAGUGUAAUAGUUGACAGAAAACCGAUCAAGGUCCACAUGGCUUAAACUUAGAAUCUGGUGGUGUAGAAAGAAAUCCUUAAAGAUUGUUCCAAGAAAGAAUUAUAAAUGAGAGUUGAAGCCUCGUGACAGGUUUAAGCAAGGGUCAUUCCAUUAUCUACAGUUCAAUCUUCAUCCUCCACAGUUUUCAAGCCUUCAAUUCCACAUUAACACAACUGCAUCUCAAUGAUACUUCUUAGAUCAUGAAUUGAUUUCCUUCGAAGAAAAAAUUAUUAUGAAUUGCUUGGCCAAACCAACUUCACAUAAUUACGUGAGGGACAGUUGUGUGGUCAUCCUCAAUAUCACAAAUAAAAUGUCUUCAUAUGCAAAUAAAAGCACUUGUAAUUAUCCUCAAGCUUAGCUCAAUUGGUAGGAAUAUUGCAUAUUAUAUGCAGGGGUUGGGGUUCGAACCCCAGACACCCUACUUCUCCACAUUUAUAUGUGUGAGCUCUAGUCACUAAGCUACUUGAUCAAAAAAAAAAAAAAACACUUAUAAUUUAUGAUCGUAGUCUCUAAUUAUAUAUAAACCCUUUUGAAGAAUUUACAAAAUUAUACAAUUUAAUCCUUUAUGUAUUUUUUUUCAUUUUAUUUUGAUCCCUUAAAUAAUGCAUGUAGGUUAUUUUAGUCUCUUAACUUACAAAUGUUGAGACAUUUUGGUCUCUAAUGGAGAGGACUAUAAUGCCUAAAGUUUAUAACUAAAAAAAUUAAAGCAUCUAAUAUUUAUAAGUUAAGUAACCAAAAUGAUACGAAAAAAACUUAACCGACUAAUUUGUCUAAUAUUUAUAGUUUAAGAAACCAAAAUGAAAAGAAAACAAGCUUAAAAGUCCAAAAUGAAAUCUAAAAUUAACUUAAGAGACUAAAAGUAUAACUAGUCAUAUUCUACAAAGGAUGUGUUUGGAUGAUCAACAUAUAAAAUAGAUACAUUAAACUCGCUCACUAUUUUUUUAAUAUAUGUAAAAAAUGUCUCAAAUACUUAUAUUAAGCGAUGGAUGUAGUAAUUAUUUGAAGGGUUAAUGGUGCUUUUCACCCCUGUAAUAUAAGUUAUUUUCGGUUUUCGCCCCUAUAAAAUUUUCAAUUUGAAUUGCAUCCAUGUAAAACUUUUUUUUUUCCAAAAAACACCCAUCCCCCAUCCAACUCAGCAAAUUCGCUUACAUGGCGCUGAUUUGGCAUUUUUUCUCAUUUUUUAAUUUUUUUAAUUGGCCACGUGUAAAAAAUAUAUCCACAUCAGAUUUUAUUUUAAAAAAUCCAAAAAAUAUUUAGUUUUUUUUCCAAAAAUUUAAAAAAUAGAAAAUUAAUUUUGAAAAAUUCAAAAAAAAUAUUAAGAUUUUUUCUGAAAUAUAAAAAAACAAAAAAAUAGUCAUAUUUGUUUCCCAAAAAUUUAAAAAUCAAAAAAAAAAAUUAGAAAAAAUCAGAAAUUAUAAUCAGAAUUUUUUUAAAAUUAAAAAUAUUUUAAAAAAUUCUGGAAUUUAAUUUUCAAAAUAAAAAAAAAGCAAAUUUUCAAAAUUACAAAAGAGGUCAGAUAAAAAAUCUGUAUACAAAUAUAAAAAAAAAAUUCAGAUUUUUUAUUCGAAAAUUUUGUUCCACAAUUUUAAUAAAAUAUUGGGAAAAAAAUCAUUUCAUUCCACAAAUAUAAGAUUUAUGAUUUCUACCUCCUCUGAAGAAAAGCUUAAUUCUAGAAAAAAUGGAAUUUCUACGACUUUUUUAAAAUCCUCUAAAUUUGUAUCCAGAUUUUUAAAAAUUAAAUUUUUUUCCAGAAUUUUUUUAAAAAAUCUGACCUUUUUUUUAAUUUUGAAAAUUUACCUUUUUUGUAUUUUGAAAAUUAAAUUCCAAAUUUUUUAAAAUCUUUUUAAUCGAAAAAAAUCUUAAUAGUUUUUUUUCUAAUUUUUAAAAUUUUUGAAAAAAAAAUCUAUUUUUUUUUCGAUUUUUCCAAAAAAUAUGACUAUACUAUUUUUCUGUUUUUUUAUAUUUCGGAAAAAUUCUUAAUAUUUUUUCUGAAUUUUUUAAAAAUUAUUUUUCAAUUUUUGGAAAAAAAUUGAAUAUUUUUAUGAUUUUUUUAUUUUUUAAAAUUUAUUUUCAAAUAUUUUAAAAGUAAAAUCUGAUGUGGAAAUAUUUUUUUACAUGUGGCCAAUUAAAAAUAAUAAAAAAUGAAAAAAAAAUGGCAAAUCAGCGCCACGUAAGUGAAUUUGCUGAGUUGGAUGGGGAAUGGUUGUUUUCUGGAGGAAAAAAAAGUUUUACAAGGAUGCAAAUCAAACCGAAAAUUUUACAGGGGCGAAAACCGAAAAUGGUCUAUAUUACAGGGGUGAAAAGCACUAUUAACCCUUAUUUGAAAUAAAGCAUUAUUUAAGUUUUGUACAAAAAUAUUAUUUUAAGUAUAUCUUCUAUCAAACCGCGAUCAACCCAUUUUUUUUACCAUGUGGUGCCUCUGACCUUAUUUGACUAUUUUUUCAUAUAUCAUAGACAUAGAGAAUCUCACACUUAAAGGAGAGAUGUUAAUGUGUCAUGUGUGAGUUAUAAUUCUACAUUGGCAGCAAGAUUUGAUAUUUAUCAACAUACAUACAUCAUUGAUCAAUUAAUAAUCAUUAGAAAAUAAACAUGCCAUGUACGUAAUUUUAAAAUUUGGCAAGACAAAUGUUUAUUAUAAUGAUAAAGAUGGUUUUUCCUUUUUGUGCUCAAGCUCACAUUUCAAACUGCAAUGGAAGGCAACAUAAUCCCUUUACGAUAUUCAGCUAGAGCCCACAUUGGGAAUAUAUCUCUAAACAUGGCGUAAUGCAGCAUGCAGUUUUUCAUGAAUACUGCUGUGAGUUCCUGCCAAAACAUAAAUAAGAACUUAAUUAAAGAUACAAAAAUAAUAAGAGAAAUGAUAGAUACUCUAUCAAGAAAAUUUCAAGAUAGCGUAUUUGCUAACACAUUUCAUUAAUUACAUAUUAUUACCUCCCUUGAUUUCCGGCAAAUAACAAAUUUAAUUGAUUGAGAGUUUGGGACCUUUUCUUGAUCAAUUCUUGAUAAAUUUCUCAAGAUAAAUAGCAAUGCUCAAAUAAUAAACCGAAGUAUAUACAAGUUUAUUGUACAAGUUUUAUUUUAUCCUUCAAUAUUUUUUUUUACCUUUAUCUUUUUCGCAAGUAAGUUGGUCUAGGUUAUCAAGACCAUUUCAUUUUAUUUAUCACAAGAUGGAAAACCGCCAAGGUAAAUUUGACAUGUUCUGCUAACUUUUGAGGAUCAAAAGUAGCAGCUAAAACACUUUCUGCUGCAAGCAUAACUAUAUUAUAUGAACUUCAAUUAUGAAUCACUAAUUACUUUCUUUUUAAGUUCUUGAAAUCAUUUUUAAAUGAGUUUUUAAAUAUGAAAAUCACUAUGUUAUAUCUUUCCUCCUCAUUUUAUAUAAUACUUUAUUUUCCCUUCAAAAAGUAUCCAUAUUUUUUUAAAUAUGAAAAUCUUGGUGAGCUAGCUAGGUUAAUUUUCCUUAUUGUGAAAUAAGCAUAAACAUAUAAGAGUCAUAAUAUCAAACAAUUAACUGAGAUAAACCUGUUGGGGCCAAUCACCCUCCUCUUGUUGGAGAUUGAUGAUUAAUUUUACAGCACGAUGAAGAGGAGUAGGGUCUCUCUCCGCCUGUACAGAUAUAUAUAGAAAUAACCAUAUUUAUAUGUAUUCAUUAGUAGUUUUUUUACACAACAUUCAUUUGUAGUUAUAUAGUAACAAAGCAUGAAUUUUAAUUUACAAUGACAGGUGAAGGUACCUGGCCGGCAUGAAUCAAAGCCAUUAGAGCCCAUGCUGUCUGUACAAUAUUUGAUUGGCUUCCUUCAAGAGGUACAUAUAUCUGCAUUAUUUUCCUUAAUUGUCAUAUCAUUUUAAAAAGGGUCUUGUUAACGAGUGUCCCCGGUACACUCUUUAAGCAUUGUAAAUUAAGUAAUUAUUUUUAAUAUAUACCAUGCAAUUAAUUUAGUUCAUUAUUAGUAAAUAAUAAUUAAUUAUUUAAAGACAAACCUUUUUUGAGCAUGAAAGAUGGCUCUCUCCCCACCCACCAUCCUCUCUUUGUAUUGUAAGCAGAAAUUUAACAGCUUUGCGAAUUGCAGCACAAUUCUCAUAAGUCUUGCCGGCGGCUGUUAGACCGCCAAGAGCAAACCAAGAACCAUAAGUGAAGCAAAUUCCCCAAUUUCCAUACCAUGAACCAUCACUUGUUUGUUUAUCUUCAAGGAAUUUAACUGCUUUUGCAAUGAAAUUCUCUACUUCUUCCUUUCUAUGCUCGGGAUAUAAUUUUUUAAACAAAACCAUAGCUUGAAUCGAUGAUGAAGUGCAUUCAACAUAUUCACGCUCAACUACAAUUUCCUCAAGAAAUUCAAUUGGAUUGAGUAGCUGAAAAUUAAUAACAAAAUCUAAUUAAUUAAUAUGGUGUGUAUACUAUAUUUUGAAAUGAAAAGAUGGUAUUUAUUCACAUACAGAACAAUUCAUGUAUGAUUUUUAACAUGUAUGAUUUCUAAAUUUUCAUUUUUACCAUGUAUGCUUAUUCGAGAUUUAAAAAAAAAAAAAACAUCUAUGCUAACUAUUCGUUUAUUAAUAUCAUAAUACGUACUUCCAACCAUUCUAGAGCUUUUGACGGCUCCCAAGCUGGUAAACCACCUUUUUUACCCUGCAAAAAUGCAUCAAAAAUAAAUCAUGUAGCAUAAGAAAAUUGAACAUCAAUGAUAAUAGUGCAAAAAAUAUACUGUAUAACAUAUUUUUGAAUCAAUUAAAAAUAACAAAUUUAACCUUUUACUGCAUUUGUUGUAGUACACAUAAUUGAUGUAAAAUGUGGAGAUAAGUUGAACUUAAAAAUUUCUUAAAAACUUCCACAUACAAAAUAAUGGAGAGAGUAGUAUGUAGUACUUGCCUGAAGAGAAAACAUGAUAUUGACGGAAUCAUAUAACCUUUCAGGUUCCAUUUUUUCCCCUACAAUCUCCGGAGACAACAUUGAUAAAAGCAGACAACACUAAAACACAUAAGAAAAUUAGUUAACAAAUAUUAGUAUUUUGCAUCUGAUUAAAAGAAUAAACAGCACUGGCUUAUGUAGUUCGUUAGUUACUAAGUUACCUUUAAACCUUCUGCAGUGCAAUCAGAAACCUGCCAUCCAUGAUCUUGAUCAGAGAAGGUCCAUGACCCUUUGGAGAUAUGACGGUACAUGCUCUCAAAAUCUCCUGAAGGGUUGUCCCUAACCUGCAAAUUGAAUAGCAGCAGACAAAUUGUCAAAUAGGCAAUAGUUUAAUGAACUAACUUUGAACUUGGAGAUAAAUUGUCAUAUAUAAUUACAAUAAUGUAAUUGCUCAAGUGUGCACAUGAUAAGUAACAUUAAAUGAUUAAGGAUGUAUAUCAUUUUGUUAAUUUUAGAAAGAAAAAAUAUUAUUUAUAUUUAUACGUAGCAUUUCUUGGCGCAACUGGUAAAGUUGUUGUCAUAUGUCACUGGAAGGUCAUGUGUUGAAAUGUGUCUCAAAAUUGAUGUUGAAGUUUGGAAAAAUCGUGGCACGUUUGCAGGGCAACGUGGCACGAUUGAAUGGUUCAGUUUUUUGGUUGUCACUGAAAAAAUCGUGGCACGAUCCAGGAGGAACGUGGCACGAUGCAGGAGCAACGUGGCACGGUGCAGGAGAUAAGAUCAAGUACUGUACUGCUACCAACUCCAUCGUGGCACGAUGGGCUCGAAACGUGGCACGAUGUUGGGUAUUCCUGAACACUAUUUAAGGCUUCAUUCUUCAUUUUUUGGUAAGAGCUUCAAGAGAGAGAAACUAGGGAAAUCAAAGGAGAUAACUUUAGGGUUGAGGGUCUUUGAUUAGGGUUCUCUUGAGUUUGGAAACAUUGUAAACACCUUGGGUGAGUGAAAAUCAUUGAGUGUCUUGUUCAUUAAUGAGAUUGGAAAAAUGGGUAGAAAUUAAGGUGGUGCUUUGUGAGCUUGUCAAAGCUAAUUUCUUGUAACCCAUUUGUAUCUCUUUGUAAGAACUCAUUGAUAGUGGAUUGGAGAGAUCAAUCUCUCCCCCAGAUUUGGUCAAGUUGGACCGAACUGGGUCAACAAUCUUUGAUGUGUUUGUUUCUCUUCUCUCUUUAUCUUUUACUUGUGGUUUUGAGCUUUUCACUUUGAUUACUAAAUUAGAUUUAGAUGUUGUUAUUAUUGUUGUUGCUUGUUGUUUGCUUUGAUAUUGGUUACUACUUUCCUUUGCUCCACACAUCAUAGUUUGUAUUGGUGUGAUUUUGAGUCGGAAUUCACAACAUCAUGGGUUCAAGUCUUGUAAAUAGCCUCUUGUGUAAAAAGCAGGGUAAGGCUGCGUACAAUACACCAAAUGGUGGAACCCCUUCCCGAACCAUGCGUAUGUGGGAGCUUUAGUGCACCGGUUUGCUCUUAAUUUUUUGUACGUAGCAUUUCUGGUUUUUAGAUUGUUCCAUACUCGGAAGCUGCUAUUUUUUAUCAGGCAUUCCGGUUAGCUAUAUAUCAAUCCCUUCUCUGUUAUUCCCGCCAUCAGAAGCGUGUCUUGUUUGUUUCUUUUGUUGUGUGUUCAGGUGCUGUGUUGCAUUGUUUUCUUGGUUCUGUUUUAUUUGUUCUUUUUUCUGCUUAGUGUUACUCUGGUUUUAUCCGAACAUGUGUGAUCACUACAUCUUGUUCUCGGUGCAAGUGGUUCUAAUAAAAUUUCAGUUGUUCCAAAAAAUAAAAAUAAUUGUGCCGUUUUCAGUUUUUAGGUUUAUGUUAACUAUUUUAUGUCAAAUAUAAUUUUACAUUAUCGGAAGAAAUUAACCAAUAGCAAACUUAAUGUUCUUAUCACUAAAACUAAACAUACCUGAGAAUUCUUGAUGAAUUUAUGUCCUUUUGCAAGUGUUGGACCAAUAUCCUCAAUUAGGUUAGUGGCAAGCAAAGCUUGAAUGAUCAAACUAGCAUCCCAUGUUUGGCUACCAAAACUCUGCAUUAUAAAAAUAUGUGCAUUUAUAUACGAUGAUGCAAUAAUAUUCUAGUAAUUAACUUGCAUUAAGAUAUGAUAAGAUAAUUUGAGUAAAUAGGCAAUUAUCUCAUAAAAUUGUAAGUUUCGUUAAAUACCUCUCUGACAUUAACAAAACUUCAAUUUUCCCUCUGAGAUUGCACAACGUUAAUCAAUUUACCCCCUCCGUCAAAUUCGUCUGUUAGACAACAUGACGUUUUGCAAAUACCCCCUGAAGUUUUGCACUUAUGUGCAAAAUGCCUUCCGAACUUAAAAAUUUAUAUAUUUUUCUUCUUAUCCUUUACUCAAAAGAUACUAAAGACAAACGAUUAACAAUUAACAAUUAACUUUAAUAAUUUAAACUCUACAAAUCCCUAAACACUAAGUCAUAAUUAUAGAGAUAUAUGUUAGAUACUAGUUAGCAUUAGUGAAGUAGUAGUAUAUAUAGUUGUAACAACCCCAUGAGUGGGAUAACUUCCUCAUUUGUAAUAUUACAUUUUACUAUCAAUACAACAAUUUCAUAGCUAUUCUCUCAUUCCUUCCAUGGAUGCCAUGUUUCAUAACAAUAAUCGCACAUUGUUCUUUUAUUACCAUGCCAUUCUAGCAUUUCGGUACCUAUACUUUAAAAGUUUUAAAGCUAAGUAAUUGUACAUGUUGUAGACACAUCUUACAGCCUGUUCUAAUCACUUUUAAUUCUUGUUCAUUUUGACAACUUUUUGUACAUUUUACUAUCUGUUUCAGACUUGAAAACAUAAUUUGCAAACAACAAAUAUAGAACAAGUAGUUGUUAAUGAAUAUGUCACAUGGAUAUGAGAAACAAGAGAAUGAGAGUACUGGGAAUAGUGAAGAACAUGCUGAGGACACUUCAAUGGGAUCUUCACAUAAGUGCUCAAUAUCCUUUGAUUUGAAAGAAGAAGCUAUUAGUGAUCAAGAUGUUAACAAUGGGGAAAAUGACGUGAUCAUGAAUUAGUGUUUAGGGAAUUUAUAGAGUUUAAAGUAUUAAAGUUAACUGUUAGUUAUUUAUCUUUAAUAUCUUUUGAGUCAAGAAUAAGAAAAAAAUUAUAAAUUUUCAAGUUUCAGCGGCAUUUUGCAUGUAAGUGCAAAACUUCAGGGGGUAUUUACAAAACGUGAUGUUGACUAACAGAAGAUUUUGACAGAGGGGGUAAAUUAACUAACAUUAUGCAAUUUCAGAGGGGUAAUUGAAGUUUUGAUAAUGUCAUGAGGGAUAAGUGACGAAACUUACAAUUUCAAAGGGGGUAAUUGUCUAUUUACUCAAGAUAAUUUAUACAUGCAGGGUCAUUCCAUCUUCAGCAACCCAUAAAUAGUCUGGGAGCCUUGCAAGAUGCUUCUUGAAUGCAUCUCCAUUUGGAUCUUCCACCCAACAAGAAAGCAUGCACAAAACCUAAAAAGAAUUGUUUAUUACACACUAAUUGUUGCAUAUGGCUAAAAAUUGAUGUUUUAUUAUUAUGAUAAUAACUACCUUUUCCACACAUCCAAUAGUUAUGUAUCGACUAUUCUCAUCUUCAUAGUGGAUAUGUUUCAUUGCUACUUGGAGAGCUUUUUCUCUAAUCAGCUUGUUUAACGGCCAAUGAGUCAAAAGUGGCUCCAUGAAUAUGUAUAAACUAUCCCAUAUUAGAUCUUGUAUCAAAGGAUGGGGAUAGUAAAGAUCUUCCUGCAUUUUUUUAACAGUAAACAAGAUAAUUUAUAAAAGGAGUAUAUAUGUGAAAUGGACAAUUAUGGCUCCCAUUAUAAAGAGGAUAUGUAAACACACACAUUGUGGUUAAUCAGAGAUAAUACUCCUCACCUUUGCACAUAGAUGGCGUACUUUUUGCCAAUUAACUUUUUCAUAAGGUUCUGUAAGGAGUUCUUCUCUCAACUUUAAGGUCAAUGGUGUGAUUGGACCGACAAACCUCUUUCCAUACAAGUAAGACAUAGGCAUGUAUACCAAUCGACAAUAACACAACAUUCUAGCUGUGUUUAGUAAAAGGUAAAAAUGAGAUAGGACAAACAUUCAAUUUAAUGAAUCAAGUUUAUAUAUAUUUUUCCAUAAAGAGAGAGUGACAACACAAGUUAUUUAAUUCAACCUGGAUGCUUAAGAAGAAAUGAGGGAAGCAUCCAAAACUCAGGAGGCAUUGGGUUGCUUGCACGCCAAUCAAAGAUACCAAGUAUCUGUAUAGUUUCAACUUUCAAUAAUCAAUCAGAUUGGCUAUAUAUAUACACUAUUUUGUGCAUAUUUAUAUUUUUUAUAAAAUGAAGUAAAACAUUACCGAAAGCCAAAAUUUUCCCCAUGAAGGUACGUAUGUCACACCACCAUGAUCAUGAAUCCAUUUUCUUGCUUUAGCACAAGCAUUUUCUUUACCUCCAUUUGGACCUUCUCCAAGUAUUCGCAUGCAUAUGUAGUUGAGUACUGUACAAAACAUGAUACUGUGACCCUCUACGUGUAGUCCCCAUCCUCCAUCUUCAUUCUUCAAAUGAAAAUGCAACAUGGCCAGCAUUAAACGUUAGUUUUUUGCAUGAAAAUAUUUCAACUAAUUAUUUUGUUUUUCCCGUCAUACCGAACAAGUAUACCUCUUAAAAUUUGGGUUAAGCUUAACUCAACCCUACAAAACUAACUUGUAAGGUGAAGGAUGUCACCCACUAAUAUAUAUAUAUAUAUUCUAACCAUAAUGCAUUCAAUGUGGGACUCUCGACGCACCGAAAAACCCUUAUAUAAUUUCAAGUUUUUAUAUUGGAUUUAACUUAUUCUUAAAAAUCACCUUGUAAGACCUAAUCUCUUUUCUAUAUGGGACUUGGAUUUUCUCAAUACAACCCCUUAUGCUUAGUACUAUUUGGCUUGGUGUGUGCAUAAAGUUACAGUUAGGCUUAACUCAUAGCUAUAAAAAAAUAAAAAAUUGUAAGGUGAGCGACAUAUGUCGCUUUUAAACACAUUUUCAUAUUAUAUCUCAUCAAAAUUGAAACUCUGGUCAAAAGUUCUCUCACAUCUAGGAUUGAACAUCUAAAGCAUGGCUUAAGUGGUCCAAUAGCGAGUGGCCAAACAGAUAGUUGAUAAGUGUGAUACCAUCUUAAUAAAAUUAAUUAGCUCAUGUCUAAUUUAAUCCGACAAAUUUGAUUUGGUAUAAUGUGCGGGAUGUCUUCCACUAGCAAAUACAUCUCAAGUUAUAUCUUAUUUGAAUGUGGAACUCAACAAUACCUGAUGACAAUAUAUGUAACGGAGAAUCUCUUUCCGAUACUCUUUGGGGAAUACCGAAUCAAGAUGUCCUAUAACGUACAUACAAAAGACCUGCAGUGUUUUGAGGAUAAAUUAAUCUUGAUUAGUGCAUUAUCAUAGAAAUUGAAUAUAUAAAGCAGGCGGUAUGCAUUUCUUUUUUUGGCAGAGGAUGCAUUGUUUUAGUGUUUAAUAGCAAUACAUCUUAUGUGAUCUUAAUUUCAUGCGUAUCAAAAACAUUUGAGAAUUUCUUCUAAAAAUAAUUUUCAAUUACUUAGUAGUCUUGUUUUUCAAUUUCAUAAACAAUAACAUAAAAUUUUCAAACUUUGAAUUUCUAUGUUCAUUUCUAUUAUUGAUGGCUGAAUAUAUGAAUACUCACCAAGGGAGGAAAAUAAAAGAGAGGGCCAGCAUUUAGAGAAGGCCAAUGACCAUCACUAGCCUGAAGUGCUGAUAUGUGAUUUACGGCUCUUCUUAACGUGGUUGUCACUUUUUCUUCUGUUAUCUCUUCUCCAUCUUCAAUCUUUACACUUGCUAUUGUUUGUUUAAAAAAAAUUUCUCUCAGAAUCUACAUAUCUCACAAACAAACAUGGAAAAUUUGUUAUAUUAAUGUAUAUAUGGAUCAGAACAACAAAUUUAUACACAUAUAACCAUUCACCAUUGGUCCAUUAUUAUAAGAUUCUCUUACGAAAUUUAGUGUUAUUAAAAAAUGGGUCUUGUUAACGAGUCCCCUCAGGACACUCUUUAACAUUUCCCUUAAAAAAAAUUAGACGUGACGAUAAAUUUAUAAAAAAAAAAUGCAUAUGUUUUACGUUUUUCAUAAUUGCAGGACUAAUUAAGUAAUUCAGACAAGUUUCCGAGCGAUCAAUCACUUGGUGGCAAGAUUUUCUGCAUCUUUGUGGCCUGGUUUGAAUCUCGGCAUCUUCAAAAAAACUAAAUUAAUAAUAUUUCAUGAGUACUAAAGUAAGGUCAAUGUGAAUUGAAUUUGAUCAACUUGUUAACAUACGAAUCCAAAAUCAAUCCGAGAAUUAUAUCAUUUUUUUAGUAUCUUUUUAGAUAAAUUUUCAGUAGUUAUUGUUUUUCCAAUUGAGUUAUUCAAAUUUGCUUUGAAUUGGACCAGAUGAUGAACAUCUUUAUGGACCAGAUGAUGAACAUCCGUUUCAGUAGUUAUUGCUUUGAAUUGGACCAGAUGAUAAAUUGAGUUAUUGUUUGUUCGCUACAACGAAGAAAUAACUACCUAAAAGCGCCGCAGAAGGUCACUACAGGGCUUAACUUUGAAAUGGUUGUCAUAGAAAUUUUUACGAGCCGUUUCAACUUGAGCUCUCUCCUCAGGAGUACCAGCAUCAGGAUCAAACUCCCAUGAUCUGCCUCCCCGCAAAAUUGUUAAGGCCGAAUAUGUUUGGGCCCUUUCUACCAUCAGCUAUCUUCAGCCUCCGAUCCACAUCUUAUAUAUUAUAUCUUUUUACUUUAAAUAUAUUGCAAGUCUCAUUUUAUAUACUUUAGGUAAAGGAAAAACUAUAGACCAUGAGAUUUGUGUGUAAGCUAAUCGCACAAUAUAUAUAUGAGUCUCAAGACGUGAACGUGUAAAACUACUUUCGGUGGAUGUCAAACACUGUUGGUCAUGAUUUUCUUUACGCGUUGCAAUUGCUGGACAGUGUUAAAAAUGCAAUCAGUGCCAUUCUUACUGUAAAUGAAAGUGAUUGUGGCAAUGGCAUUUUGCAACUAUUAAUUGCAACUUGCAAGCUAAAGCUUGUAGUACCAUUCUUAUUAUCCAAAACACAAAGUAACACGAACAAGUGUACGUACUUGUUGAGUGUGAGAGAAAAGAUAUUGAGAAGGAAAUUAUGUUCUUUGUGAGGUUUCUGUUGGAAUAUUUUUUAUAUUAAGUUAUUUUUCAAUGUUAUUAUAAGAGCAUUAUAAUAAUUAUAUUACUAUAUAUCAAUGAGUAGCCCUAUCGCUCAAGAAAUAGAAAAUAAAAUAUCAACAGAUAGUCUUAAUUGAUUAAUGAUAAAAAUAAAUAAUUAUUUAAUUAAUUGAUAUGAACUCUGACUCCUUAUUUUAUAAUGAUGGGAACCUAGCUAGUUGGCCAUCACACACAAUGGACACAAUUUUAUAUAGGAAGCAUAAUAUCUAUCAUGAGAAAUGAUAACUAUAAUUAUAUGAACCAUUGGAUCAACUUGUUUUAUCUAAUCUAAUUUACAUAAAAAUGAAAAUAUUUAAAGAUUUUAUUUUUAUUAUAUUGGUACCUAAUUGAAGCUUGGGUUAAAUAUGUUUUUGGUCCCUAUAAAACUUUUAAGUUUAAUCCUUACUUAAUUUUAAUAGGGUUUUUAGUCCUUAAAAAAGAAAAUUACUUCUAAUUUUAGUCUCUGUUACAACAAAGUUUGUUUAAUUAUCCUUAAACUCUUAAAUUUUUGAAUGAUUUUUUCGAGACAAGUUUAAAACACUAUGAAAGGUUCAUUUACUAAAAUUUAGAAUUUUUUAAUAUGAGAUGAAUUAAAUAUGAAUUUUUUAAAACGGCAAAAGUUAAAGAUAAAAUUAACAAAAUCUGAACUAAAAAUCAAAUUUUGUGACAAUUUUUUGCAGAGGAACUUUCAAUAAUGAUCUUAACACGUCUGCAAAAAAUUGUUCAAAAACUGAAGAGUUUAAUCAUAAAUUAAACAAAUUUGAAUUGAGGAGGGACUAAUACUUAGUGCAAAAAUUGUUUUUUAGAAACUAAAAAAACAAUUAUAAUUAAGUAAGGACUAAACUUAAAAAUCUCAAUUUUAUAGGGAUCAAAAACAUAUUUAAUCCUUGGAGCUUUUAUCGAGAAAAUGAGUUAAAUUGUCAAUUCUCUGCAAAAAAAAUUGUUAAUUCUGCAAGAAAAACAAAAGAACAUAGAAGAACAAUUGAUAAUUCUUUUGUUUUGAUGAUUAUGCAUCCAAUUUCAACUAUUUUACACUAGUGAAAAGAAUAUACAAUGUCCAAUAUUUUUACUCACGCUGGUAUGACACUAGGAAAAUGAUUUAUAUAUACACUAUGGUACUUUAUUUUUUGACAGAUUAUACAGUAUAGUACUGUAUCUUAGUCAAAAAGUAUGUACUAUCAUUAAUAACACUAUAUCCAUUCUUUGACAAAAUGGAUACAUUUAUUGUUAUUAUUGAUGUGAUAUGACUAUCAUCUUCUUCUAUUUUUCUUUGACAAAAUGCGAUACAAUUAUCUUGUCUUCUCUCAUUCUCCUCCACAUGCAACUUACCGGGGCAAAAGUCCAUUCCAAGUUUAUUUUUCAGAGGGACAAACUUGUCAAGAAAAUAAAAAAUGAAAAUAUGUUUAGAACAUAAUUUUAACGAAAGGGAAGGAAGAUUAUGUGCCUUGUUUUCAAAAAGAAAAAUUAGCUACUUCCAUAUUAUGUAGUAAAUUAUGUCUCGUCUUUUCUUCAAUGUCAAUUUCAAUAGACUAAUUUGACUUCUAAAAAAAAUUAGUGUCUUUUUUACGUUGACCGUCUUAUGACUACGAGUAUUACCCUUAAAUUGUUGGUUGAAACAGUUUUACUCAUAUCAAAUGGGCUAAGAACACAUAAGAAAAACUUUGAAAAGCAUAACAAAUUGAGUGUUAGUUACAAUUUAUAAGUUGAAAACUCUCAGAAGAGAACAAUUACCUGACUAUCUCUAUAAAAAAAAUGAAAACAAUUACCCGACUAAAAAUAGUAGAAGUGCAUUGUAAAAAACAAAAAAAAACAAAAAUAGUACAUGGAUACAGAGAGAAAAUAAAAAAAGAACAAUAGUUAUUUAUAAAAGCCUAGCUUCACAAGUUGUAAGAAGUCAAAUUUAUUUAUAAUUGACACUAUAUUAAAUAAAUUAUCAUAUUUUUUAUAAUAUUAUAUCUCUUUGAAUAAACAAAAUUGUUUGAAAUAACUAAAUAUAUAUUAAUGAGGUAUCAAUAAGAACUAGCUACUUAUUCAAGAUUUUUUUUUUUUUUUGGCGUAGUCAAUGCUACCACGUUGUCAUGAAACCCUCCGCUUUUGGUUGUGAUCUUAAAUUUGGAGGCAAUUUGUAACGUUUUACAAGUUUAUCUUUUGUAAAAGAAAAUUGGUUAAUAUUUUCACUAUAAUAUUUAUUGUAGAAAUUGAUGUAACAUAACCAGGGGUACAAUAAAUUAAAAAAAAAAGAGAAAUGAUAUUUAAACAAUUAUUUUGUGACAAUUUUACGAUAACAUUCUUUUUCAUAAUCACAUUAAUGUUUUUUAUUUUUUCUUUCUAUUGCAUUGAUUUUUGUGUCAAGACAUACAUUCUUUUAUAUAUUUUGGUUUUUUCACAAGCUUUUAUAAAAAUUGUCUCAUAUUAUCACACGUGAGGUUCCUCAAGGUCAAUGGAAAGUGCUUCAAGCAAGUAGAGUAGAGGGGGACCGAUCACCGAUGGUCUCUCACCUAAUGUUCGCAGAUGAUAUGGAGAAGCAACUGCAUCGCAAAUGACAUGUGUAAUCAACUCUUUGAAGACUUUUUGUGAUUUAUCGGGACAACAAGUGAGCCAAGAUAAGACAAGCAUGUUUUUUUCUAAAAAUGUUCCCUGAGGAGUCCGAUAUCAGUUGUUGAAUUUAGCUGGUUUCAGGGAAGCGACUUCUUUAGGAAAAUAUCUAGGAGUGCCUUUGUUAGGAAGAGCACCAAAAAGAGCCGAUUUUCAGUAUAUUAUCAAGUGCAUGUCAUGCUUGCGAAUUGGAAAGCCAAUCAUCUCUCGUUAGCCAGAAGAGUGACACUAGCUAAGAGUGUUAUUGAGGCAGUUCCUUUAUAUCCUAUGAUGACCACUAUUAUUCCCAAGGCGUGUAUCGAAGAGAUUCAGAAACUUCAACGGAAGUUUGUUUGGGGCGACACAGAGGUUAGUCGAAGAUAUCAUGCUGUUGGUUGGGAAACUAUGUCCAAACCAAAGACCAUCUAUGGUUUAGGUUUAAGAAGGCUGGAUGUUAUGAACAAGGCGUGCAUCAUGAAGUUGGGUUGGAGUAUUUACUCUGGAUCAAACUCUCUUUGUACUGAGGUUAUGAGAGGUAAAUAUCAGCGAAGCGAAAGUUUGGAGGAGAUUUUUCUGGAAAAACCGACAGAUUCAAGUCUCUGGAAGGCGUUGGUUAAGUUGUGGCCAGAAAUCGAGCGCAACUUGGUGGAUUCUAACGGAAAUUGGAAUUGGGAAAAGCUAAAGCAAUGGUUGCCUUUUGAUGUACUUCAACGGAUUAUGGCUAUUGCAACACCUCAUGAGAACUUAGGAAGUGAUAAAUUAAUAUGGCCGAACACCGCAAGUGGGAACUUUAAAGUAGCUAGAUUCAGCAUAUUACAAUUUUAUCAAAAUUAAAUCAUGUUGAUGAAGACGUGACUUGGAUAAAAUUAUGGAAACUUAAUGUUCCUGAACGUGUUAAAUUUUUUAUGUGGAUUAUAUAUCAUGGAAGAUUGCUAACAUAUUUGAGGAGGAGUAAGAUGGGGAUUGGAAGUCCAAUGUGUAGUUUUUGUCAUGAUGUGAUUGAGUCUGAGAUUCAUGUUUUAAGAGAUUGUCCAAAAGCUUUGGCUCUCUGGAUGAGGGUAGUAGAUACUACUGGAAGGGCAGCUUUCUUUGAAGGUGAUCUAUCUCAUUGGAUCAAUUUUAAUAUGUAUAGUGAAGGAGCUUGGAGACAUGAUGUUGCUUGGAGAGAUUUUUGGGCUAUUGCUUGUCAUACUCUCUGGAAGUGGAGGAACAAGGAAGUUCAUGAUGAUAAUUUUCAAAGACCAUUACAUGUUAACGAUAUUAUCAUGAAAUAUACAGAGGACUAUCGCGAUGCAAAGCAAAAUUCUGACAUUAUUGUUCCUCAGCCGAGGAGUUUGGUGGUGGUGGGGGAUUUAUCAGGGGAGUAGAAGGUGAGUGGUUGGGGGAAUUUUCCAAAUUCUUGGGAAAAUGCAAUGCUUUUAUAGCGGAGUUGUGGGGAGUUUUGGAAGGUCUCCGAUAUGCGAAACAAAUAGGGUUUACAGCGGUUGAAAUUCUUUGGUUGUGGUGAACAUAAUUAUGAAGGGGCAGGAUAUCAAUUCGAUAGGAAGGAGCCUUGUUCAAAGGAUUAGGCAACUCUUAGAGAUGGAAUGGGAGGUUAAGGUUCAACACUCGUAUCGUAAAGCACAUAAUUGUGUUGAUGCUUUAGCUAAUAUGGGGUGUAGAAUGGGUCAUGAAAUGGUAUUUUAUGAGUCUUGUCCGACUCAAAUUAGUCAUUUGUUAGCUGCUGAUCAAGCAGGGGUUUCUUUUAUGUGUUUGAUUAAGAUGUAAUUUCUCUUUUUGAGCUUCGGCCCUCCCGUCAAUAAAAAAAAUUAUUCCUCAUAAAGAAAUAAUUAACGUAAAUAAAAAUUUGAAAGUGAUCUUAUAAAAAUGGACAAAAAAAUUCUAAAGAAAUUUAUAUGUAGAGCAUCUCAAGUAGGCAUGGCAAUGGAGCAGGGUGGGGGACGGAUUUUACCUUCCCAUUCACCAUAUCCUUUACCCGUUACCCUGCCCAUAUCCAUCGGGGAUGAAAAAUCGAAUCUCAUCCCCGUCCAGGAUGGGUUCGGGUAUUCCCGCCUCAUACCCAUUCCUCGCGGUGGAUAAUUUUUUAAAAUUAAAAUUAAAGUAACUUUCAUCCUGAGCGCAAUAUAGUAAUGCAUUAUCUAGGAAAUAUACAAUUGACGAUCGAUGGCAAUGGUGAUGGAGAAGAGAGAGGCAGAUAGUGUGAGAUAUGAAAGGAGAUAAGAGAGAAUUAUGAUAAGUGACUGUCAUCUAAAAGACUAAGACUCUGACUAUGGGAGUGAAAUGAUUUAGAGUUUCGGUUUCAAUUUAUAUAAAAGGGGUAAAAAAUUAAUUUUAUACAUUCGGGAUGGAUUUGGGUAUGGGUUCGAGGUGGGUAUCUAUAUCCCCGUUACCAGUCUCAUACCUGUGUUUUGAAAUCGGGAAAAACUUAAACCCAGUCAAAACGGAAAAAACCCGUCAAAAUAGGUUUGGUUCGGAUGAGUACCCGCUGUCAAGGAUUUUGUUGCCAUAGUUAAUCUCAAGUGAGAGUAUACGAGUUGAUUUCAUAGAAUAAUGAAUCCAUUUCUUAUGUUUUUUCUUUCCAUUUAAGGAACUUACGUGCCAAAAUGGGUACCAUAAUAAUUGUAGAUUUUUUUUUUUAAGAUAGACGAAAUGGCAAAGUCAUUAUAAACUCACACACACAUAAGUGGAGGUACUGGGGUUCGAACCCCGGUCAUAGCAUCCGGCCUAACAAUUUCGGCAUUUGCCAGUUGAGUUAGGACUUAAGGAAUUAAGGUAGUAUCAUUUUAUUUUUUUUCAUUUUUGAUCGAUUUUCAGUGGUUAUCUCUUUAUGAUAGAGUUGUUACAUUUUUCAUUGAAUUGGACCAGUUGAUGAACAUAUCCAUAUACAUCAAAGAGAUAAUUACCUGAAAACGCCAAAGAAGGUCACUGCAGGGCUUAACUUUGAAACGAUUGUUAUAGAAAUGUUGACGUGCUUUUUCAACUUGAGCUCUCUCCUCAGAAGUACCAGCAUUUGGAUCAAACUCCCAUGUCUGCCUCCCUAAAAAGUUAUUUGUACUGAAUAUGUAUGGAUCAUUCCCCCCAUCUGCUAUCUUCAGCCUCCACAUCUUAUAUAUUGUAUACUUGCAUGUAUUUUACAAGUUUCAGCAUAUAUAUUUUAGGCAAAAGAAAAGAGAACUAGAUUGCAACUAUAUAUGAGAUUUUUGUGUGUGUAUAUGCUGAAUCACACAACAUAUAUGGAGGAGUCUCAUGCAACAAUUAUUAUAAAGCAAGCAGUGUUGGCAAUGUUCAACGGCUUGAAUUUAUGAUGGUAUAAUUUACUGUUUGAUAUAUAGGUGUAGUACUAGUGUAUAUCAUUGUGCCUCUUAUAAUGGUUGGUUAUUUGAUUUACUACCCCUCUUAUAGUAGUUGGUUGUUUGAUUUACAAUUGUACCUAAUCCACUUAAUGUAAAGCCGACCAAUGAAUAAUAGUACAACGUACGUUUGAUACUAAUAUAAUUUUGUUUGUAUAAAAGAUUCAAUUUAGUAUCGGUAAGACCAAAUACAAUCUAAAAUACAUAUUGUUAAGUUGGAUAUUUUAUGUGAUAUUUUUCAUGUUCGAAUAUGGGAACUUCUAUUUUAUUUGUGAGUUUAUGGUGAUGUUAAUUUAUCAUAUUGUCUAAAGAAAAAUAGGGAACCCAAUUUACUCGGUAAGAAAAAUAAAAUAAACUUUUAGUUCUUAAGAAGAAAAAAAAUCUGAAGUACUUAGUCCUUAAGAAACUUUUAUUGUACAUGAUCUAAUAAUUGUCUUCAUUUUUGACAAUGAUUCAUGUAGGCAAUAAGACAUGAAGUUUAUUUUCUGUUGCAAUGAUACGGUAUCUUCUUAUAUAAUGUGCAAUUCAUGAUUUUUAUGGAACUCCACAUAGAUAUGCUCCAACAUUGAUAAUAGUUAUGGAACGAUAUAUGUUGUUAAUUGGCUUCAAAUUUGUGGUUUGGAAGAACAGAGAAAUCGUGACACGAUUUCAUCAACGUGUCUUGAUUUUCUAGACGGUGAGCAUGGUUUUGCAGGGUGCUCAAUCGUGUCACGAUUUUGGAAAAACGUGACACGAUUUUCAAACUUGCUGGGUACAUUUUCAGGAUAAGGUUGGUCGUACCUUGGAUUGUACGCACCAAUCGUGUCACGAUUUGGCAAAACGUGUCACGAUUUUGACAGCUGAAGACUGCUAUAUAAGUGUUCUUGUGCAGAUUUUGAAGGAGAGGUUGAAGAGAGAGAAACUUGGAUUACAAAGGAGGUAACUUUAGGGUUGAGUGUCUUUGUAGUGAGGAUCUCUUGGGUUGGGAAAUAUUGUAAACACCUUGGGUAGUGAGAUUUCACCAUUGGAAUGAUCAAAAAGCUUCCUUUUGUGUUUUUCUCUUAGGAUUCAUUAUUGAGAGUGUGGGUGACUCAAAAUGGGUAGAAAUUAGGUUUUGCUCUUGUGUAAGCUUAUAAGCUAAUUUCUUGUAACUCUUUUGUAACACUUUCAUCAUAGGGGAUUGGAGGGAUGCUCUCUCCCCCAUAUUAGGUCAUAUUGGACCGAACUGGGUCAACAAUCUUGGUGUGUUUGUUCCUUUCCUUCAUAGCUUAUCUCUAUUGCUUUAAUUAUGCUUGUGGUGAUGCUCUACACUUAGAUCUAGGUCUGUUUUUGUUGUUGUUGCUAGGAGACACUUUAUUCAUUGAUUACCACUUCAUUUGCUCCACACAUCUUUGUUAUUCAUUGGUGUGAUUUUGUCCAGAAUUCACAAUAAUAUCAUAUGUUCUCGAACCUGUUAAGAUACUAUCGUUUUGAGAUGCUCCAAGCUGUCUUAGUUUUUCCUUAGGGAUCAAAAGUUGCAUGUAUUUUCUUAGGGACUAGACUGAAUUUCACAGUUUUUCUCAAUAAUUAAAAUGUAUCACCACUCUUCUCUUUAUUUUAAAAUUUUCAACGUAAAAAUUAAGUUUAUAGAGUGAAAUAUAAUUUGAAACAUUUCAGAUGUGUGUAGUAUAUGCAUUGUUGUUGAUAUUUGAAGUGCGAGUAGAUAAAUUUUAUGAUUAAUAGGGCUUUACCCCCCUGUAAUAUAGGGCACUUUUAGUUUUCCCCAGUGUAAAUUUUUUUUUUUAGAUUUCGUCCUUGUAAAAUAAAGAUUCUUCAAGAUUGUCCCCUAUGCACUGUGACUCAGAAGAAUCUUUAUUGUGUUAUUGACGUGGCAUUUUUUUUAUUUUUCAAUAUUUUUUGGAUGCCACAUGUAAAAUACAUUUUCAAUGUCAUUUAUAAUAAAAAAAUUUAAAAAUUGAAAAAAAUUCAGAUAUUUUUAAAAAAAAUUAAAAAUCAGAAAAAAUUCAGAUUUUUUAAAAAAAUUAAGUUCCAUAUUUUUUUAAAAUUUAAUUUAAUUUUCAAAAUAAAAUAAAAAUAUAGUUUAUAUUUCAAAAUCUUUAUUCCAGAAUUUUUAUAAAUUCUUUUUUGAAAUUAAAUAAUUAGAAAAAAAUUCAAAUAUUUUUUACAAAUUUAAAAAAAUUAGAUAAUAUUUUUUUCAAAUUUUAUAAUUUUAAUUUAAUUCGGAUUUUUUUUUGAAAUCUUUGUAUAAUUUUUUGGAAUAUUUGGAAAUAUUUGAAGUUCGAGAAUGGAAAUGGUAUUACCAUAUGGGUUUUCCUGUCAUUGAUGGGAAAAAUAUUAAGUUAGAAUUUAGAAAAGAAUUCAAAAAAUUUAUUCCUGAAUUUUUACGAAUUCUUUUUUUAUUUAAAAAAAUAAAAAAUUCAUUUUUUUUUCUGAAAUUAGGAAGUAUUUUAAAAAAAAUCUGGAACUUCAUUUUCAAAUUAAAAAUUUCAAUUUUUUUAAUUUUUGAAAAAAGAAUUUGAUUUUAUUUCGAUUUUUUAAAUUUUUGAAAAAAAAAUAGUUUUUUUUUUUCUUCUGAUUUUUGAAAUAAUUUUAGCUUUUUAAAAAAUAAUUAAAAAAAGAUUUUAUUUCGUUUUUUAAAAAGAUUUUUUUAAAAAGAUUUUAAUUGGUUGUGUUUUAUCUUUGGAAUUGUUAAUUUAUUUUAGAUUUUAUUUUAAUUGAAAAUGUUGCUAAUUAUGCAUAGGCUUCCGUGAAUUGGUUUAAAAAAAAUAUGAUUCACAAAAAAUUUACGGAAAGAAAAAUUGGUUUGAGUAAAAUCCACAAGAAGAAAAAAAUUUGUUAAGAAAUGAAAAGGAUAUAAAAAUGUAAAUAUGAAAUGGAAAAGGAAAUUUAACGGACUAUUAAAUAUAAUUUUUUUUUAUUUUAAUUAGUUACCUUAUUUAUCACUUUAAUUAAAGUAAAAUAAGUGGAAUCUGUUUAUUUAUUGCUCCUUAACAAGUGCCCCAGGGGCACUGGUUAGCAACACCCUUUUUUUUAAUUAUAAAUGACAUGUAAAUUCUUUUUUACACGUGGCAUCCAAAAAAAUUGAAAAAAAAAAAAAAACGCCACAUCAUAGAUACUGCUGAGUCACAGGGCUCAGGGGGUAAUCUUGAAGAAUCUUUAUUUUACAAGGACGAAAUCUAAAAAAAUAAAUUACAGGGGGAAAUACUAAAGUGUCCUGUAUUACAGGGCGGUAAACCCUUUUAACCCUAAAUUUUACAUUGAAUAAAAAUGAGUGUUUUUUUUUUUUUGGUAUAUAGACGAAAUGGCAAAGCCAUUAUAAACUCACACACACAAGUGGAGGUACCGGGGUUCAAACCCCGGUCAUGGCAUCUGGCCUAACAAUUUCGACAUUUUGUCAGUUGAGCUAGGACUUGUGGAUGUUAAAAAUGAGAGUGUUAAAUAAUAUAUAAGUGAGUUAAAAAUCUAUGGGAGAGUUUUUUACUAGUACAAAAAACCCUUUUUAAGUCGGUUAAAAAAGGCUUUUUAAGUCGGGCGCGCGGCUGACUUAACAGCUCCCGUAGUAAGAAGUUUCUUCCUUUUAAGUCGGGUAUAGCAACCGACUUAAGGCCUCAUUGUUUAAGUCAGUUAAAAAAGCUUUGUAAGUCGGGCACGCGUUCGACCUAACAGCUCCCGUAGUAAGAAGUUUCAGCUUUUGAAGUCGGAUUUAGCAACCGACUUAAGGCCUCAAUGUGUAAGUCAGUUAAUAUUUACCCGACCUAAGAUAUUAACUUCGUAAGUCGCACAGUUUUAACCGUCUUAAAAAGUUAAUAUAUUUUUUUUUUUUUUUUUAUAUAGCACACAUGCAGAAUUGGCUUCCAUUUUUUUUUUGUCCACUGCAUGCAUGCAGAAUAUCCAAUGCACUAUAUUGCAGUGUAAUAGGAAGAUACAUUAAAGUGCAUAACCAAAAUCCACAUGUAUUAUUUAAAAUAAACCAUUGAACUUCAAUGUCAUUAGAAAGUAAAUAUUGCCACUGUGCACCGACAGAUUAAAGUACAUAGUAGAACCAAAAUGCAAAUAAUAUAAAACUCAAAACAGGGCUAACACUAAGCUAAAACCCCAAUUGCUAAAAAAAGAAAACCAGUCUCACUAAAGCUUACUCCCCCCACCUGCUCCAAAAACCAGUCUCGCACUACAAUGAAUCCUCAUUUGCUUUGAUAAGUUCUAGAAUCAAAUUUGCACAGCGUUCUUGAACAUUUUUAACUUCAUCCUUUUGAAAGGGAGUUGAAUCCGCAAAUAUCUAAAUAAAUAAAUGUUGACAUAAUAUUAGUUUAUCAUAUUAGCAUGUAAGAAUAAAAUUAAUUAAUUUAUAAUAUUUGUUAAAAAAAUCUUAUACAUACUUGCAUCCAUGAAUCCACAACACCACUGGAUAUGAUGUUCAACAUAUGUAGCAUGACAAAGUAUCCGCUCUCGUAAGAAACUGAUUGCCUUCGACUCUGAAAUUGAAUAUGAUCAAAUGUGACCGACUAAUCGGUAAAUAUUAUUACAAACAGAAGCUAUUUAAUAUAGAAACACGACAAAGAUGAUAGAUGAAGUAGUAGCAUGUGUAAACAACUUACGGUGGGAUAAAACCAUACUACUUUACUAUGCUUUCUCACCCCUUGUAGCUUAUAAUAACCUUCCAAAGCUCUACAAUAAUCAAUACUUAAUCGUUAAACUUAUAUCAUUAAACAUAUGACAGUUCAUGUAUAAUAAAUAAAUUGAAUACUUACGAAUCAACAAUGACUGGUAAAUUUUUAUCCGACGGCUUCUUUCCUAAUGAACAGAGAAAGGUUACCUCACGCUUCUUAGGAUUAAUUAUGAGCAACUGCCAGUGACGACUACAAGGGCAUUAAAAAAUUAAAUUAUUUGUAAAAUUCAAAUCUCUAUAUUACAAGUGAUUGAAUAUAAAGAGAGGGGAAAAAAAUUACUUGUUAAAGUAAGGAGCUAGGUACAAAUCCUUUUUAUUAUGGUCCAUUGUGUUUUGAAUGUAGGUUUGAACACUAACUCGGUCAUUUUGAGCAAGAGUGUAAUACGGAUCAAGAAAUCCGUACAUUCCACUUUUUCCCAAUUCAACACAACGACGGUGUAGAUACCUAAGAUAGUGCAACAAAAUUUCAUUAUAAAUAAAAUUAAGUAAUUGAAUGACCAUUAAAUUUACAAACAAAAUAUACUUACGUGAGCCACACUUGCAAAAUAGUCAAGUGUAAUUCUUUUUUACCCAAACACAAGUCCAUGAUAUCAUCCCUUGGUAGCUCAAUAUCAAUCCCACUAUGUUUAGCCUUAAACUUCAAAUCUUGUUCCAUGUACAUUGCCUUCACUAUCAAUUUUUGACAAAUAGGUUCUGACUUUUUUUGUGGAACAUCAACUUUCAUAGGUAUAUCAACAUCCUAAACCAUUAUAAUAAAACAUUACACAAGUCUAAACAGUAUGAAGUGUAAAUAGUGAUAGACACAAAGAUAAUAAAUACCUUAUUAGUGAUAACUCGCAAAAGUCUUUUUGGCCAUUUAAUGAAAGUGUUGACAGCCUGAGCAAUUGUUGUCACCUCAUCAGUGGGCACAGGUACUUGAGCCUUUGCAUCUAUCACCUUAGUAACAGCCACUCUAACCAUAUCAUUAGCUAGCACCUGAUUGUGUAUAGUGGGCCCUAGGUUGUACACAUUAGCAUGUGCGACCACAUAAUUGCUUCCAUCAACAUACAAUUCACACUCUUCUGGGAUAUCGAUAUCCUCUUCAUCAUCUGGUGUCUGUGGAACAGUAGAGCAACUGUCCUUUGAGCUAACAUAUUGAGUGGUAUUAGGAGAAUAAAUUGGGAAAUUUUGAUUUGGUUGAGUGCGAAGAGUCUGUAGCACGUCCUGUGUAAUCUUCUUAGUCAAUGCUGCUAGUUGGGCACCACUGAUAACAGACGGGGUGGAAUGAGAUUUUGAUCCAAAGUAUUCUCGAAUUCCCACACCUCGACCAACAGCACGAACACGACCAGGGUGUUCAUCUUGCCCAAGGGCUUUCACCAAGAUGUCCUCACGUCCAUUUUGCACAAAUCCGUCUGACACUAGAGAAUCCUACAACAUCAAAUUUAUCAUAUUUAUCAUUAUUUAUAAUACACACAAGACUGACAAUGAAACUAUGCAUAUAUAUAUAAUAAACAAUUUAGAAAAAGAAAAUUGCAGCUCACAUGUUUCAUGGUCAAAUACAAAUCCAUAUGUCCCCUCAAAUGCGUUAAAUUAAAUAGUAGUAGAUAUGAAGACAUUUUGUGCUAGUUUAACACACUUUCAUGAAUCAACGUGGUUCUACUAGGCAAUAACAUUUGUGUCUGUGAUUAUUGGAAAAUUAGCAUUUCUGUUUGUGAUUCAAUGAUUUAAUAAUUUGAAUGAUGAUGGAUGAUGCAACCAUUCCAUAGAAGAAAUACAACUUAAAAGCUACAUGAGAAAGUAAAUAAACUUUCACUUUUAUCGAUGUUAAAAAAUGGUAUUACAUAUUGGUCUAUAAAUAAGAAUCCCUAUAUAUGAUUACACAUUUUUUUGCUCAUUUUUUGUAUCACAAUACAAUGGAAUACUACUUUCCUGAUCUAUCAUCACAGCCUUAUAGGUAGUUUCUAUUAAUAAAAUAUAUGACAAAACAAUUGCUUGUUAAUAAACUAGCAUGAGCACAACUACACAACCUCCAUUAGUUUCAACUGGACCGUGGAAUUGACCAAUAGCCAAUACAUAAUCACAAACACAAUCAACAAUAAAAAGAAAAAUUAUAGCUAUCAAAUUUCUAAUGUUCUACCAAGAUAAGGCAGUGAGAAUUUCCAUUGAUUGUUUAUAUAUAGAUCAUUUUUGUUGGAUCCUAAGUGCUUUUAAAAAUAUCUUUUUGCUUUUCUUCAAAUCAUUACUUUGAUCCAAUAUAUUUACAAGUUGGAAAAAAGAACUUAAGCAUUUACUUACAAUUGUCUCUGCAACAACACGAGUGUCUUCUGAUGUAUACUCUCCUGAUGGUUUUAUUCUGGCUCUUUUCCACUUCUCAUGACGUUGAGGUGGAGAUGGAGGUGGAACUUCUAUGUCUCCAGCUGCUUCUUGUCUUUCUUUUAAUUUUUCUUCCAUCAUCUUUUUCUCAAGUAAUUCAUAUCCCCCUUGAGACAAUCUAUGAGGAUAUUUAUUAUGAGCUUGAGUCUGUUGUGCAUUCAGUCUUUUCUCCUAUAUAAACAACACAUUGAUUCAUUAGGUAAUACUAAAAUGAAACUUGAUACAAGAACUACAUAAUAAAUCAAACUAACCAGAAAGGAAGGUUCGGCUCGCGUCCUAAUAAACUCCUGCCAUAUGUCCUCAUCAAUAAAAUCAUAAGUCUCCAUAGGAGACUUGUCAAUAUUUUCACCAUCAAAUAAAUACCUACUUGUUAAACUAUAUUUGAAUGCUUUCCAUCGCUCACCCGCGUACGAUAUAGUUUUCUUUUUCACAAUCUUAUCAUUCGGCAUAUCCCAUUUAGCCUACAUUACGCAACAAAUAUAGGAGUUAGUGUAUGACAAAAUUAAAGUUAAGUACAAUAUUGAUAAACACAAUUAAAAAUUACUGUGAUUGAUUUCCAAAUCUCAUCCUUUGUGGCAUCAGGAACACUAUUCCAAUCACUUAUCAGAAUACUUGUACACUCUCGAGCAAAGGAAGCCACCUGGAGCUUGAACCUUUUCGCGUUUUCCCCUGAAGGUAACCCAUUAGAUUGGAAUUCAAUUGGUAAUUUCUCACCAUGUGCAGUUUUCAUUUUCAAAUUCUUCAUACGGGUGCGACCUCUUCCCCUUUUUCGAUUAGAUUGAGUAUUCGACCCACUUUGUGAAGGACCUGCUGGAUCACCCAUAUGUCUGUUUAAAAAGAAACAUAACAACAGUUAGUAACAAUGCAAGCUCAAUACCAUUAAUAUAGUGACCAAGAAUCAAUUAAAAAUUGCAUAUUAAACUCACCAAGGAAAUGAAAAUAGAAGAGUAGGCAAAAAAUGAGAUUAUACUGAGGUUUGACACUAAUAAAUUGAAGUCAAACUAUUCAUUAUCAUAACAGUAGCAAAACCCAAACUACAAACUUGAUACACAGUGUCAUAAUAGAAUGAAAAUUCAAAUAUGGAUUUGUAUCUCAACAAAUUAUAAAUUUUUCCAUAUGUAAGUUACUUCUACAUAAAACUAGAAGUCAUUCGUUAAGGGCAAAAAGAUAUUUUUUUUUUUAUUAAUAUAGAAGUCAGAUGAGUUUGCAAAUAAAACGAGCGAAAACAUUAAAAAUAAAAAUGCAAAAGCAAGAUCAAGUAGUUUCAUAAUUUAAAUGACAUGAAUUGUGGUAAGCACCAUUUGAGAAGUCACUUUGUUUACAAAGUAAUAUCCCAGCAAUCACAGUCAUAUGCUUCUCUGUGAAAACAAAACUAUUAACUACUUCUCUAAUGGACUGCAAUUUCACAAGUAAAACUAUUAACUACUUCUCUAAUGGACUGAUACUCCAAAGUUUGGAAUCUCUAUGAUACAAUUGAAACAAAAGUCACCAUUUUAUUAACUAAGAUUGAUUUGAUUGAAUAUUUUCCCAUAUCCCUUCGCGAUGAUCAUCACGAGUGGCAUACACAUCGUCCACUAAAGUUUCCUCCAUUGAAGUAGAUUGUCGUUGUGUGAAAGGAGUCUCAUAAGUAUAUAGCGUUGAAUGCAGAUUGUCAUUGUUAGGUUCGUGACUGAUUUUACCUUGGAGAACCACUGACCACUUUUUGUUAGAAGGAUCAGAAACAUAAAACACUUGUUUUGCUUGAGAUGCCAUAAUGAAAGGCUCGUUCGUAUAAGCUAUCUUACCAAGGUCCACCAAUGUAUAACCAAAUUCAUCUAUUUUGACGCCGUUGUUUAUGUCAAUCCAUUUACAUUUGAAAAUAGGAACUUUAAGUGUAACGAAAUCAAUAUCCCACAUUUCUUCAAUGAUCCCGUAGUAAGGUAUUGAUGCCAUGAUAGGAUUUUUAUCUUUUGAACUUGAGAAGUGCAUAGACUCGGCUACAACCAUAACCCCACUAUUUUGAACCGUACUCUUGUCAUCCUUGGUCCUUGUAUAGAAUGUAAAAUUAUUCACGUUGUAGAUGGUCCAACUUAUGGCAUCAAACUGAGGUUUUCGUGCUAGACAUUUUAAAUUUUCAGAACACGUAUUGUCAUUUGAAAUAGUUUCUUUAAACCACUUCAAGAAAGUCUUGUUAUGCUCUUUUAACACCCAUUUUUCAUUCAUUCGAGAAUUUUUUUCCUUGACAAUCCUUUUGUGAGUAGAAAUGUAAGGUUGAACUUCAUCAAUAUUAUUCAAAAUAUACAAAUGUGCUUGAAGUACUUCCACUGAGUCCAAACUCUUAAGUUUUAAACCUUGUAUACCUCCACAUCUUCCAUCGUAUUGAGGCUUGGGAAUUCCUAUCGCUUCCUCUUCUGGCAUAUAGUUAGUAUUACAAAACUCAACAGCUUCUUCUGCGAUGUAUCUUUCAACAAUAGAUGCUUCAGGACGAUGUUGAUUCUUCACAUACCCUUUUAAGAUCUUCAUGUAUCGCUCAACUGGAUACAUCCACCUCAAAUAAACAGGACCGCAGAAUCUAAUCUCUCUCACUAGAUGAACAAUUAAGUGAACCAUGAUAUCAAAAAAAGACGGAGGAAAAUACAUCUCUAAAUGGCAUAAGAUUAUAGCAGCUUCAUUUUCCAACUCCUCUAAUUUUCGAAGAUCAAUUACUUUACUGCAUAUAACAUUGAAGAAUAUGCACAACCUAGUUAAGAUAGCUCUGACCUUUUUAGGCAAUAUGCCACGAAUAGCCACCGGUAGUAGUUGUUGCAUCAAUACGUGACAAUCAUGAGACUUCAUGCCAAUUAAUUUUAAAUCUUCCAUUGAGACAAGACUAUUGAAAUUUGAAGAGUAACCUCGUGGAACUUUUAAUGUAUGUAGACACUCACAAAAGCUUGUUUUCUCUUGUUUAGACAACGUAUGACAAGCCGGAGGCAAAUAUGUCUUCUUAUUAUCUGCUGAAUGCGGAGCUAACUCUUGUCGUAUGCCCAUCUCAACCAUGUCUAAACGAGCAUUCACAUUGUCCUUUGUUUUACCAUGAAUAUUGAGAAGUGUUCCAAUUACACUAUCGCACACAUUUUUCUCCACAUGCAUCACAUCGAUACAAUGUCUAACAUCUAGACUGCUCCAGUAGGGAAGAUCAAAGAACACAGACCUCUUCUUCCAUAUCUUUUUCUCAGUGGUUUUUUGUUUUUUGUUCUUUUCUUUCUUUCCAAAUUUAACAUUGACAUCCUUCACCCGUUGAUAAACUUGCUCACCAGUUAGGGCUUGCGGAGCAGUUUCAAACUCUUGCUCUCCAUUAAACGCUUUUCUCAACUUGCGAUACGGGUGAUUAGGUUUGAGAAAUUUUCGAUGCCCAAGAUAAACAGUCUUUUUUCCAUGUUUUAAUUGUUUGAAGCAUGUUUCUUCUUCACAUAUAGGGCAACCUUUAUGUCCUUUAACACUAUAACCACACAAGUUCCCAUAUGCAGGAAAGUCAUUGAUAGUGCAAAAUAACAUUGCACGCAUCUUGAAAUUCUGCCGAGAAUAGCCAUCAAACACAUCAACACCUUCUUCCCAAAGCAUUCUUAAGUCUUCAAUCAAGGGACUUAGAUACACAUCUAUAUCAUUUCCUGGCUGCUUUGGGCCCGAUAUCAUCAUAGAUAACAUCAUGUAUUUUCGUUUCAUGCAUAUCGAAGGAGAUAAAUUGUAGAUAACUAGGAGAACGGGCCAUGAACUAUGGGUACUACUUAAGUUUCCAUAUGGAUUCAUUCCAUCUGUAGCAAGUCCAAGCCUAAGGUUUCUUGCCUCUUUACCGAAAUCCGAAUACAAUUCAUCAAUUUUCUUCCAUUGCAAUGAAUCAGCUGGAUGACGAAUUUGUCCAUCAUCUUCCCUAUCACAUGCAUGCCAUCGAAGAUUCCUUGCAUCAUUUUCAUUAGCGAAUAAUCUUUUGAACCUUGGAAUUAUUGGAAGAUACCAUAACACCUUUGCAGGAGGACGCUUUAAGCUUUCAUCAUCAUCACCAUCCUUCACUUUGUAGCGUGAUAGCCCACAUGUAGGGCACUGCUUCUCAUCCUCAAACUCGUUUCGGUACAAUAUGCAGUCAUUAGGACAAGCAUGUAUUUUCUUGUACUCCAUACCCAUCGGACAUAAUAUCUUCUUUGCAUCAUAGUUACGUUUCGGUAAUGUGUUGCCUUUUGGGAGCAUUUCGCACAACAGCUCAAGAAGUUCAGUGAAACUUUUAUCUGUCCAUCCAUUUUUCGCCUUCAAGUUGAACAAUCUCAACACUGCAGAUAACUGCGUGAAGUUCUUGCACCCUGGGUACAAUAUUAAUUCAUUGUUAGCGCGUAAAUUGUUAUGUGCAUGUGCACGCUGAAAAUCCUCCUGUCCAAUAUCGCAAAUCAUGUCCUCCAUCUGAUUGUCCAUCUCAACGUCCAUGUCAUCUCUUUCCGAGACAUCUGGGAUGUUUGACGAUUCACCAUGCCAUAUCCAAUUGGUAUAAGUUUCGCAAACGCCCUCACAAAUUAGAUGAUUUCGUAGUUCUUCAACUGAAAGUAAUGGAAGUCUAUUCCCACACUUAACACAAGGACAAUGGAACUUCCCGUUAUUGUUAGGAAGGUUUUCACAAUAUUGUAAAAACUCUUCCACUCCUUUCUCAUACUUUUCACUCAAACGAUUAGCUUUCAUCCAACUGCGAUCCAUAUAUUGUUUCAUCCAACUUUAGAAGGUGUGAACCUUCGUUAUGUAAGUCACUUAGUAUGUGACUUACACCUAGGCAGAGAUUAGUCUAGUUAUCAGUCCAAAAGACUGAAGCUAGUGGAAAGACUAUGUGUAGCCAAUGGGGUGUCAAAGGUCCUAAUUACGUGCCUUCAAAACAAAAAAAAAGUGAGUGAAAUAUUUUUGGAGGCCUAAAGUAAUAACUUCAGCAUAUGCUUUCUCAUAGGAACUGAAUGAUUCUAGAAGAUAAGUUCACACAUCUCAUAUAUGCCUAAAGUUUUCUUUUUAAAGUCCAUGACUAUAUCUAAUAAGUCUGUUAAAUUAAAUUAAAUUUUUUGUUUUACAGCUCACAUAAUUAUACUUUGUUAAUGAUUGAAAGAAAAGUGAAAGUUCAAUAUGUCCAUAUAUUUGUUUUUCUUCUAAAAGACUAAAUGCCUAAUUGAAGACAUUGUUUCUAAAACCUUUGCUUUUAGAAAAUGACGCCCCACAUACAUAUAUUUUUGCUUAUAGUUUGUAUUAAAAAUAAAUAAUAUCUUUAGCCUCUAAUAAAUAAAUAAUACCUUUUUGACUACAUAGGCUUAAAUUACAACAAUUUGACUCGGUUAAUUAAUCUUGUUUGAAUGAAGAUGAAUGGUGAAUAAUAAAAAAGAAGUAUGCACAAGAAUGUUGCACUUGGCAUAAUCUUCAUUCUAGUACAUUUACUUAUGUUUCUUUUGUAUAUGUUGAACAUAUUUCAGUUGAAACACAUUGGGUAAUAUCUACAUUUACCGUUCCCCUUCCCUACUAGAAAAAUGAAAUCUGUUUAUAGAGAUUCUUACUACUAUAAGGACCUUCAAUUUUUUUUAUGGACACCUCUCAUACCAUCUUAUUUUGGUUUUAUCCUUUUUUUUUCUUUUCAGCUGCAGCCACUGAAUUGUGUAUGUCAAUUUAGAUCUUUGUAAAUCAAUUUAGAUUUUUGAACAUAUCAAAAGAAACUGGUUCCUACCUUAGUUUUAGUUGUAAUUUGGACAUAUUAUGAUUUUUGAAUUUCUCUGAUUUUGUGCAAUUUUGUUAGCACAAAAGUAUCAUACAAUAGUUCUAUGUAUAGCUAAGAUGACAAAAAAUAAAUAUCAAGGUAUUAAUAGUAUGUAGGGUGGUUAGAGUUUCAUAAUUUAAGAUUUUUGUGCAAGUGCAUUCAACCUUCAGAUUUAUAGACCAGACACAAGAUCAUUGAUAAGGUGGAUCCAAGCACUUCCUAGCUAUGUUAUACACUCUGAUACAUAUAUGUAACACCAUUUUAUCCAUUAUGUCUCUAGCUUCUAACAAUAUUGACGAUGUCCUAUACUAGUCACAACUAUUUUCAUGACUAUUCAAAUGAGUUCCAAAUCAUAAGGCUUAAAUCAAAACAGAACAAGAUAAAGGAAUUUUUCACCUUUCCUACCAUAUGUUCACUCAUUCAACUCAAAAUUAUCAACGUUUUUUAGCAAUUUAUACACACAACUAUUUUCAUGACUAUUCAAAUGAGUUCCAAAUCAUAAGACUUAAAUCAAAACAGAACAAGAUAAAGGAAAUUUUCACUAAUCAAUUGAGGUUUAUAUAUUGUAGUCUCUAAGUUGAAGAAAGUCAAUUAAUUUAGUAUCAAUUAUUAGCAGGGAGUCAAAUACUAGCAGAAUUCGAAUAAAAUGCCCUAAUGCUAUGAGCACUUAAUUAAACAUUGUAUCCAAACAGGGCUUAACACAAUUCCCUAACAAAGCCACCACUUAAGCUAAAACUAACUAGCGAGUACUUAGAGUUUAAAAUCUAAAAAAGGGGUUUCAAAUUAAACAUUGUGUCCAAACAGGGCUUAACACAAUUCCCUAACAAAGCCACCACUUAAGCUAAAACUAACUAGUGAGUACUUAGAGUUUAAAAUCUAAAACAGGGGUUUCAAAUGUCGAUCAAUCAAACAAAACAACAAAACCCAUUGGAGGAAACUUUGGGUUAGACAAAUAAUCAAACACUUAAUGGUCAAUAUGGAAAUCACACGAAAUCAAAUUAAUCACUGUCACCACUACUAUCAUAGAAAAUUUCCAAUGAUAAUUACGAGAAUCAUUCUAAUAAUCAAGUGGAUUAAAUUAAAUACCUAACAGUUGAGGUGAAUCUGGAACAAUGAUCAAUCGUGAUGAAAAGGACGAUGUUGCUGUUGUUGCUGCGAUGAACCUCACAGUACGAAGUAGACUGAAGCGAGACGAACUUCUUUUUAAGAAAAAAAUGUUUAUUUUUUGUUAAUCGAUCGCGAUGAAAAGGACAAUGGUGUUGUUGCUGCUGCGAUGAAUCUCAAUCUCACAGUACUAAGUAGACUGAAGCAAGAGAAACUUCUUUUGAAGAAAAAAAUGUUUAUUUUUUUUGUUGAGACAUAAAAAAAAUUGUUUUUUUUUUGUUACGGAAAAAAGGUCAUAUAACUAUUUUUUUGUCAAACAUAUAACUAUUAAUUAAUUUCUUUAUUAAAAACAACUAUUAAUUUAAUUAAUAAAUUUAAUUAGUUUAUUUAUUUAAUUAAUAAAUAAAUAAAAAUAGUGAAAGUUGAUGAUUCACCUAGAAAUAGAGAGAAAAAUCCUUAGGUCGGGUGUUGAAGCGACCGACUUAAGAAAAAGACUUCUUAAGUCAAUUGGUCAGCCUAGUGACUUAAGGAAUUUAUUAAAAAAAAAUCUUUUCAUAUUCUAUCAAUCGUAAGUCGGGUAAUCUUAUAACCGACUUAAGGAAGUUUAAAAUAAUUACGAAACUGCCACCGCGUCAAUUCUUAAGACGGGUGGCAGAACGAACCGACUUAAGCACGAAUCUAUAAAGUAUAUUUUGUACUAGUUGUUCAUUUAGAUUUUAUGAGUCUUGAAAGAUUUCGUAAUGCGCGUAAAGGAUACUAAGUUUACACAAAAAAUAAUAUAUAAAUAAGAAAUUUCAUAUAUGUAACAUUUUAAAGUUUUUGACGAAACCAUCGAUAGAAGUUGGGUCAAAGGUUAGACUCUUAAUGUGGAGAACCAAUGUUUAAAUUGCAACCAAAAGAUUUACCGGUAUUUAUUGUCUAAAAUGUUUCAAAUAUGAUUAUUUCUAGUGAAAGAAACCUAUAAAAAAAAUCAAAAAAUUGCUUUGAACAAAAAGGAAUUAUGUUUAAAAGAAUAGGUUAAACUCUCAAAACGCAACAAUCAAAGUUUGAAUUUUAACUAGAAGAGACCGAGUUGUGAGACAUCAUGAAAAUGUACAUAAUCAGACUCGUCUCUGAAAUUCGGGUGUCAAUUUAGUAUGGCGUGUUUUUAUGACAAUAAAAAGAAAGAAGUCGCAAAAAGAAGUCAAAUUACAUUAUUAUUAUUAUUUUUAAAAGUUAGGAACACUAUCUUUUUACGAACUAUCUUUUUACGAUUCUCCAACACUCACUCUUCUAUUAUGUUUAACUUAAUCCACUCUUCUAUUAAGUUAAACUCACGUGGAUCUUAUCAUUUUUAAAGUGUAGUAUUUAUAUGAAUUUCAUUGAAUAAUGAGUAUGACAUCUUAGAAAGAGAGUGUUAAUUUGGUUUAUGAGUAUGACAUGUACUUGCAAAACAGGUGGUGAUUGUACCUUGGUUGAUUUAGAUGUACAUCCAUACGCUGAGAUCAAUUCACUUCAAUAAUAUACUUGCAAACAAAACAUCAUAUUGAAUUCUGUCUAUUCAAAAAUAAUAUGAGUGCCAUAAAAAUCUAAUCUCUAAUGAUCUGUUGUACCUUCGAAAAGGGAAAGAAAAAGAUAGGUAACCGGUUCAUUAAGAAUGAGAAGAAAGUACAGUACACAUGGUAGUGUGAUAAUUGACAGAAAACCGAUUGAGGUCCACAUAGCUUAAACUUAGAAUCUAGUGGUGUAGAAAGAAAUCCUUAAAGAUUGUUCCAAGAUAGAAUUAUAAUUGGAGUUGAGGCCACGUGACAGGUUAAGCAAGGGUCAUUUCCAUUAUCUUCACUUCAAUCCUCAUCCUCCACAAUUUUCAAGACUUCAACUCCACAUUAAUACAACUGCAUCUCAAUAAUAUUUCUUAGAUCAUGAAUUGCUUUCCUUCAAAGAAAAAAAUAUUAUGAAUUGCUUGGCCAAACCAACUUCACACAAUUACGUGAGGGACAGUUGUAUGGUCAUACUCAAUAUCACAAAUAAAAAUGUAUUUAUAUGCAAAUAAAAGCACUUAUAAUUUACGGUCGGGUCGUAGUCUCUAAUUAUAAACCCUUUUUGAAGAAUUUACUUGUCCUUAAAUAUAAGUUAUUAUACAAUUUACUACAAAUAUUUAUUUUUUAAUUUUCAAAUAUGUCUCAUUUUAAUGUUAGGUUAAAUUACAUUUUUGCUCCCUUAAGAUAUUUUUAUAUUCCACUUUUUAAGUCCUUUCCUUCCUUCUCUGGUUCCUUAAGUUACAAAAAUUAUACAAUUUGGUCUUUUAUGUAUUUUUUUUCUUUUCAUUUUGAUCCCUUAAGUUAUGCAUGUAGGCUAUUUUAGUCUCUUAAGUUACAAAUGUUAAGACAUUUUGGUCUCUAAUGGAAAGGACUAUAAUGCCUAAAGUUUAUAACUAAAAAAAUUAAAGUAUCUAAUAUUUAUAGGUUAAGUAAACAAAAUGAUACCAAAAAAACUUAAGUGACUAAAUUGUCUAAUAUUUGUAAUUUAAGAAACCAAAAGGAAAAGAAAACAAGCUAAAAGUUUAAAGUGAAACCUAAAAUUAACUUAACAGACUUAAAGUAUAAUUAGUCAUAUUUUAUAGAGGAUGUGUUUGGAUGAUCAACAUAUAAAAUAGAUACAUUAAACUCACUAACUAUUUUUUUAAUAUAUGUAAAAAAUGUCUCAAAUACUUAUAUUAAGCGACGGAUGUAGUAAUUAUUUGAAAUAAAGCAUUAUUUAAGUUUAGUAAAAAAAUAUUAUUUAAGUAUUUCUUCUAUCAAACCGCGAUCAACCCACUUUUUUACCAUAUUGUGUCUCUGACCUUAUUUGACUAUUUUAUCAUAUAUCAUAGAUAUAGAGAGUCUCACACUUAAAGGAGAAAUGUUAAUGUGUCAUGUGAGUUAUAAUUCUACAACAUACACACAUCAUUGAUCAAUUAAUAAUCAUUAGAAAAUAAACAUGCCAUGUACGUAAUUUUAAAAUUUGGCAAGACAAAUGUUUAUUAUAAUGAUAAAGAUGGUUUUUCCUUUUUGUGCUCAAGCUCACAUUUCAAACUGCAAUGGAAGGCAACAUAAUCCCUUUACGAUAUUCAGCUAGAGCCCACAUUGGGAAUAUAUCUCUAAACAUUGCGUAAUGCAGCAUGCAGUUUUUCAUGAAUACUGCUGUGAGUUCCUGCCAAAACAUAAAUACGAACUUAAUUAAAGAUACAAAAAUAAUAAGAGAAAUGAUAGAUACAAUGACAAACUAUAUCAAGAAAAUUUUAAGACAGUGUAUUUGCUAACACAUUUCCUUAAUUACACACCAUUACCUUCCUUGAUUUCCGACAAAUAAUAAAUUUAAUUGACUAAGAGUCUGAGACCUUUUCUUGAUCAAUUCUUGAUAAAAUCUCUCAAGAUAAAUACCAAUGCUCAAAUAAUAAACCGAAGUAUAUACAAGUUUAUUGUACAAGUUUUAUUUUAUCCUUCAAUAUUUUUCGCAAGUAAGUUGGUCUAGGUUAUCAAGACCAUUUUCAUUUUAUUUAUCACAAGAUGGAAAACCGCCAAGGUAAAUUUGACAUGUUCUGCUAACUUUUGAGGAUCAAAAGUAGCAGCUAAAACACUUUCUGCUGCAAGGCAUAACUAUAUUAUAUGAACUUCAAUUAUGAAUCACUAAUUACUUUCUUUUUAAGUUCUUGAAAUCAUUUUUAAAUGAGUUUUUAAAUAUGAAAAUCACUAUAUAUUAUAUCUUUCCUCCUCAUUUUAUAUAAUACUUUAUUUUCCCUUCAAAAAAUAUCCAUAUUUUUUAAAAUAUGAAAAUGUUGGUGAGCAUAAACAUAAACAUACAAGAGUCAUGAUAUCAAACAAUUAACUGAGAUGAACCUGUUGGGGCCAAUCACCCUCCUCUUGUUGGAGAUUGAUGAUUAAUUUUACAGCACGAUGAAGAGGAGUAGCGUCUCUCUCCGCCUGUACAGAUAUAUAUAAAAAUAACCAUAUUUUUAUGUAUUCAUUAGUAGUUUUUUUUACACAACAUUCAUUUGUAGUUAGAUAGUGACAAAGCAUGAAUUUUAAUUUAAAAUAACAGGUGAAGGUACCUGGCCAGCAUGAAUCAAAGCUAUUAGAGCCCAUGAUGUCUGUACAAUAUUUGAUUGGCUUCCUUCAAGAGGUACAUAUAUCUGCAUUAUUUUCAUUCAUUGUCAUGUCAUUUAAAAAAGGGUCUCGUUAACGAGUAUUCCGGGGCACUCUUUAAGCAUUUUAAAUUAAAGAAUUAUUUUAAAAAUAUACCAUGCAAUUGAUUUAGUUCAUUAUUAGUAAAUAAUAAUUAAAUAUUUAACGACAAACCUUUUUUGAGCAUGAAAGAUGGCUCUCUCCCCACCCACCAUCCUCUCUUUGUAUUGUAAGCAGAAAUUUAACAGCUUUGCGAAUUGCAACACAAUUCUCAUAAGUCUUGCCCGCGACUGCUAGACCACCAAGAGCAAACCAAGAACCAUAAGUGAAGCAAAUUCCCCAAUUUCCAUACCAUGAACCAUCACUUGUUUGUUUAUCUUCAAGGAAUUGAACUGCUUUUGCAAUGAAAUUCUCUACUUCUUCCUUUCUAUGCUCGGGAUAUAUUUUUUUAAACAAAACCAUAGCUUGAAUUGAUGAUGAAGUGCAUUCAACAUAUUCACGCUCAACUACAUUUUCCUCAAGAAAUUCUAUUGGAUUGAGUAGCUGAAAAUUAUUAACAAAAUCUAUUUCAUUAAUAUGGUGUAUAUACUAUAGUUUGAAAUGAAAAGAUGCCAUUUAUUCACAUAUAGAACAAUUAAUGUAUGAUUUCUAAAAAAAUAAUUACCACGUAUGCUUAUUCGAGAUAAAAAAAAACAUCUAUGCUAAUUAUUCGUUUAUUAAUAUCAUAAUACUCUUCUUCAAAAAAAAUAUCAUAAUACUUACUUCCAACCAUUCUAGAGCUUUUGACGGCUCCCAAGCUGGUAAACCACCCUUUUUACCCUGCAAAAAUGCAUCAAAAGUAAAUCAUGUAGCAUAAGAAAAUUGAACAUCAAUGAUAAUAGUACUCUAUAUAUGUUUGGAACCGGUGACUUAUAGUUGACCUUAGAUUAAGCAAACAUUUCACUUUAGUGCAAAAAAUAUAUUGUAUAACAUAUUUUUGGAUCAAUUAAAAAUAACAAAUUUAGUCUUUUACUGCAUUUGUUGUAGUACACAUAAUUGAUGUAAAAUGUGGAGAUGAGUUGAACUUAAAAAUUUCUUAAAAACUUCCACAUACAAAAUAGGUCAAAUGCAUCUAAAGGUCCUUUAAGUUUUUUGUUUUUCUCAAAAUGGUCAUUUAAGUUUCAAAAGUCCCAAAGUGGUCAUUUUAGUUUUUGAAUCAUUUCAGAAUCAUACUUUCCGUCAUUUAAGGAGCAAUUUAGAAGGCUUUAUGAUUAUGGUCAUGAGUUGAUUAGAUAAAAUCCUCAUAGCACAGUGCAGAUCAAAGUUCAACCAACUGAACAAAGUGAAGAAGGUAAUGGAGAAGAGUUUAUUCAUAGACCAUUGUUGCCUAGCUUUUAGAGGGAAAGUAUGAUUCUGAAACGAUUCAAAAACUAAAAGGACCACUUUGGGAAAAACGAAAAACUUAGAGUGUUGAAAUUGGGGUCUAACUCAUCCUUACAAAACCGACUUGUAAGGUAAGGAUUGCCUCUGAUACCAUGUCGAAAUUGGGGCCUAACUCAUCCUUACAAAACCAGCUUGUAAGGCCGACUUAUAAGGUGAGGAUUGCCUCCUCUUUAUAAACUCUUCUCAAGAGUCUUAUCUAUCCGAUGUGGGACUUGGAUUUUUCCCAAUAGAGAGUAGUAUGUAGUACUUGCCUGAAGAGAAAACAAGAUAUUGACUGAAUCAUAUAACCUUUCAGGUUCCAUUUUUUCCCCCACAAUCUCUGGAGGCAACAUUGAUAAAAGCAGACAACACUAAAACACAUAAGAAAAUUGGUUAACAAACAUUUGUAUAUAUUUUGCAUCUGAUUAAAAGAAUAAACAGCACACUGGCCUAUGUAGUUCGUUAGUUACUAAGUUACCUUUAAACCUUCUGCGGUGCAAUCAGAAACCUGCCAUCCAUGAUCUUGAUCAGAGAAUGUCCAUGACCCUUUGGAGAUAUGACGGUACAUGCUCUCAAAAUCUCCUGAAGGGUUGUCCCUAACCUGCAAAUUGAAUAGCAGCAGAAAAAUUGUCCAUUAGGCAAUAGUUUAAUGAACACUAACUUUGAACUUGGUGAUAAAUUGUCAUAUAUAUAGUCAGGGCCGGGCUUUGGGGUGUGCAAACCGCUCAAUGGAACUGGGCCUCCCCAAGGCAUGGGCCUCAAAAAAAAAAUUAUAGCCCAAUACUACUGCUAAGUGUUAAGUGGGUGUGUUUUUUGGGAGGGUGGUUUGAGGUUCCUCAGGUAUACGGUAGUGAUUUUCACUUUUGGGUGUACCGAUUAUAUAGGGCACCUUGUAUUUAUCUUUUAAAAAAAUUAAAUAGAACAUGUUCUUAAAAAAAAAAAAAAAUUGUGCCGUUUUCAAUUUUUAGGUUUAUGUUAAUUAUUUUAUGUCAAAUAUAAUUUUUACAUUAUCAGAAAUUUACCAAUAGCAAACUUAAUGUUAUUAUCACUAAAACUAAACAUACCUGAGAAUUCUUGAUGUAUUCAUGUCCUUUUGCAAGUGUUGAACCAAUAUCCUCAACUAGGUUAGUGGCAAGCAAAGCUUGAAUGAUGAAACUAGCAUCCCAUGUUUGGCUACCAAAACUCUGCAUUAUAAAAAUAUGUGCAUUAUUUAUAUACGAUGAUGCAAUAAUAUUCUAGUAAUUAACUUGCAUUUAGAUAUGGUAAGAUAAUUUAUACAUGCAGGGUCAUUCCAUCUUCAGAAAUCCAUAAAUAGUCUGGGAGCCUUGCAAGAUGCUUCUUGAAUGCAUCUCCAUUUGGAUCUUCCACCCAACAAGCAAGCAUGCACAAAACCUAAAAAGAAUUGUUUAUUACACAUUAAUUUUUGCAUAUGGCUAAAGUUUAAUGUUUGAUUAUAUAAUGAUCACUACCUUUUCCACACACCCAAUGGUUAUGUAUCGACUAUUCUCAUCUUCAUAGUGGAUAUGUUUCAUUGCUACUUGGAGAGCUUUUUCUCUAACCAGCUUGUUUAAUGGCCAAUGAGUCAAAAGUGGCUCCAUGAAUAUGUAUAAACUAUCCCAUAAUAGAUCUUGUAUCAAAGGAUGGGGAUAGUAAAGAUCUUCCUGCAUUUUUUUAACGGUAAUAAUAUAUUAUAAAGAGGAAAUGUGCACACACAAAUUGUGGUUAAUCAAAGAUAAUACCCCUCACCUUUGCACAUAGGUGACGUACUUUUUGCCAAUUAACUUUUUCAUAAGGUUCUGUAAGGAGUUCUUCUCUCAACUUUAAGAUCAAUGGUGUGAUUGGACCGACAAACCUCUUUCCAUACAAGUAAGACAUAGGCAUGUAUACCAAUCGACAAUAACACAACAUUCUAGCUGUGUUUAGUAAAAGGUAAAAAUGAGAUAGGAUAAACAUUCAAUUUAAUGAAUCAAGUUUAUAUAUAUUGUUCCAUAAAGAGAGAGAGACAACACAAGUUAUUUAAUUCAACCUGGAUGCUUAAGAAGAAAUGAGGGAAGCAUCCAAAACUCAGGAGGCAUUGGGUUGCUUGCACGCCAAUCAAAGAUACCAAGUAUCUGUAUAGUUUCAAUAUUCAAUCAAAUUGGCUAUACAUAUAUAUAUAGGUAUACUAUUUCGUGCAUAUUUAUACUUUUUUAUAAAAUGAAGUAAAACAUUACCGAAAGCCAGAUUUUUCCCCAUGAAGACACGUAUGUCACACCACCAUGAUCAUGAAUCCAUUUUCUUGCUUUAGCACAAGCAUUUUCUUUACCUCCAUUUGGACCUUCUCCAAGUAUUCGCAUGCAUAUGUAGUUAAGUACGGUACAAAACAUGAUACUGUGACCCUCUACGUGUAGUCCCCAUCCUCCAUCUUCAUUCUUCAAAUGAAAAUGCAACAUGGCCAGCAUUAAACGUUAGUUUUUUGCAUGAAAAUAUUUCAACUAAUUAUUUUGUUUUUCCCAUCAUACCGAACAAGUAUACCUCUUAAAAUUUGGGUUAAGUUUAACUCAACCCUACUAAACUAACUUGUAAGGUGAAGGAUGUCACCCACUUAUAUAUAUAUAUUCUAACCAUAAUGCAUUCAAUGUGGGACUCUCGACACACGUACUCAUGGCCAACAACUUAUAUUAAAUUUAACUUAUGUCUAGCACUAUUUGGCUUGGUUUUCGGAUAAAGUUAGGGUUAGGCUUAACUCAUACCUAUAUAAAAUAAAAAAAACUCGAAUGGUGAGUGACAUAUGUCACUUUUAAAAACAUUUUCAAAUCAUAUUUCAUCAAAUUUGAGACUCUUGUCAAAACAUUCUCUCACACUUAAGAUUGGACAUCUAGAGCAUGGCUUGAGUGGCCAAACAAAUAGUUGAUAAGAAUGAGACCAUCUCAAAAUUUAGCUCAUGUCUAACUUAAUUAAUUGACGAUAUUGAUUUGGUAUAAGGUGAGAAUGUCUUCCACCUACAAAUACAUCUCAAAUUAUAUCUUAUUUGAAUGCGGGACUCAACAAUACCUGAUGACAAUAUAUGUAACGGAGAAUCUCUUUUCGAUACUCUUCGGGAAACAUCGAAUCAAGAUGUCCUGUAACGUACAUACAUAACACCUGCAGUAUUUUGAGUAAGUGGAUAAAUUAAUCUUGAUUAGUGCAUUAUCAAAGAAAUUGAAUAUAUAAAGCAAGUGGUAUACAUUGUUUUCUAGGACAGAGUAUGCAUCUUAUGUGAUCUUAAUUUCAUGUGUUAAAAAAAUUGAGAAGUAUUUUUGAAAAUAAUUUUGAACUACUUAGUAGUCCUGUUUUUCAAUUUCAUAAACAAUAACAUAAAGUUCUCAAACUUUGAAUUUUAUUACACCAUGAGCUCACUCCAACCAAUGAGGAAGAGACACAUGUUACUUGUAGUACAAGCUAAGCAACUAUAGUGUAGUACAAUCUAAGUAGAUUAGUAGCACAAUUCUUAUUGUGUAUAUACCCGUGUACUCUAUUCAUUCAAUCUAAUGGAAAAUAUUAUUUGUUUCUAGUUUCAUAAUAAAUUUCUGUGUUCAUUUCUAUUAUUAAUGACUGAAUAUAUGAAUACUCACCAAGGGAGGAAAAUAAAAGAGAGGGCCAGCAUUUAGAGAAGGCCAAUGACCAUCACUAGCCUGAAGUGCUGAUAUGUGAUGUACGGCUCUUCUUAACGUGGUCGUCACUUUUUCUUCUGAUAUCUCUUCACCAUCUUCAAUCUUUACACUUGCUAUUGAUUGUUUAAAAUUAUUUUCUCUCAGAAUCUACAUAUCUCACAAACAAACAUGGAAAAUAUGUUAUAUUAAUGUAUAUAUGGAUGAGAACUACAAAUUCAUGCACAUAUAACUAUAUACCAUUUGUCCAUUAUUAUAAGAUUCUCUUACAAAAUUUAGGGUUAUUAAAAAAUUUAGUUGCGACAAUAAAUUUAUAAAAAAAAAAACAUGUGUGUAACAUUUUUCAUAAUUGCACGACUAAUUAAGUAUUUUAGACAGGUUUCUGAAUGAUCGAUCACUUGGUGGUAAAAUUUUCUUCAUCUUUGUGGCAUGGUUCGAAUCUCGCUAUCUUCAGAGAACAAAAUUAAUAGUAUUUCGUGAGUACUAAAGUAAGGUCAAUGCGAAUUGAAUUUGAUCAAUUUGUCAACAUACGAAUCCAAAAUCAAUCAGAGAUUAUUUAAUUUUUUUUCGGUAUCUUUUUUGAUAAAUUUUCAGUAGUUAUUGUUUUUUCAAUUGAAUUAUUGAAAUUUGCAUUGAAUUGAACGGGUUGAUGAACAUUUUUAAGGAUAUGCAUGUGAUUGUAUAUUUUGUUUGCUACAGCGAAGAAAUAACUACCUGAACGCGCUAAGGAAGGUCACCACAGGGCUUAACUUUGAAACGAUUGUCAUUAGAAAUUUUUACGAGCCGUAAUUUGAGCUCUCUCCUCAGUACCAGCAUCAGGAUCAAACUCCCAUGUCUACCUCCCACAAAGUUGUUAAGGCUGAAUAUGUUUGGGCCCUUUCUACAAUCAGCUAUCUUCAGCCUCCACAUCUUAUAUAUUAUAUCUCUUUACUUUAAAUAUAUUGCGAGUUUCGGUGUAUAUACUUUAGGUAAAGGAAAAACUUGACGAUGAUAUUUGUUUGUGUAAGCUAAUCCCACAAUAUAUAUGAGUCUCAAGACAUGAACGAGUAAAACUACUUUGGAUGGAUGUCAAACAUUGCAAGCAAUUGCAAUUGCUGGACAGUGUGAAAAAUGCAAUCAGUGCCAUUCUUACUGUAAAUGAUAACUGUAAUUGACCAUCACACACACAAUUUUAUAUAGGGAGUGUUUUAUCUAUCAUGAUAAAAGAUAUAAUAGGUCAUGCUAAUCGGUGUAAUUUCCUUUUUAUUAUCUUUAACCAGUUCACCGGAGGCACCGGUUAGCAUUUCCCUUGUAUAAUUAUAUGAACCAUUGGAUCACCUUGAUGGCAGAAUUAGAAAAUGGAAUUAUAUCAUUGAAUGAAUGACAUUGAUUAUAAUUAUAUAAUCAAUGAUCCUUCAACUAGAAGAAAUGAUAUAUCAAAAAUGAUUUUAGACACAAUCAAAAUUAUUAAUAUUUUAACAUAAUAUUUAUAUAAAAUCAAUUUUGUAUAGAGACCAAAAUUUGAUUUCGUGACCUAGAGAAAUUGAGGCAUUUUUGAUAAUCAAGUAAGUUAUGCAAAUGUCUAUAAUUUAUCUAUCAUAUAAUAUAUUUAUAAUCAAAUUAAUUUUUUAGAAAUCUUUUUUUCCAUCCAAAAUUUUGAAGCCUAAAACCCUCGCUUGAGUUGUUUAGGCCUUAGGCCGACCCUAGAUCCAUGUUAUAAUAUUUUUCAAUUUAACGGUCGAUUUUGUUGUAAUUCAGUUACACAAUAAAAACUUAUUGUCGGUGUCAUAUAUUAAGUUUGAUAUUAUAGUGUCAAUCAAUCAUGUCUCCAUAUAUAUGUGCUAUGUACAUUGUACAUGGCCUCUUCUCUCCAAAAAAGUGUAUGAGGCAUAAGAAUUCAGGUUUAGCAGGAACACAAUCCUCUUCUCUCCAUCUGAAAUGUUUUACUAUUUAUAUUGUUCAGUUCGAGGAAAAACCACAUGUCAACAACACUAACUUUUUAACUUUCUCUCUAGCAUUUAGUUAUUUAUUGGAUGAAAUUAAUGUAUAUCCCACCAUUUUAUGGGGUUUCAAUUUUUAAAAUGGGUAAAGAUUGAUGAACACCCUUUUAAUUCAAUCACCCCAGUGACAAUUUAUUUUGUCUUCUUCAACCAAAAUAAUAUAUAAAAUACUUUUGUUCUAAAAAAAAAAAAAAAAUUCCCUUUUCUCUGUUCUCACUUCACCCUCUCCCCCACCUCAGACCUUCACCCUCUGUCAUCUUUCUUCCCCUUUCCUUCCCGCUCUCUCUUUCUUUCUCCCUCACAUCCGUCACCACCACCACCGUCGCCCCCACCCUUGUCUUGAUCGGUGAAAGCAACUAGGGGCAAUCCAAACUCUUCGGGAGUCAGUGGGCAACGCUUAUGAUUUCUCAACUCUUCAUCAUUGAAUUAGGAAUUCAAUACUCUUCCCUGCCAAAUCACCUACGGGUAGCAAGUUUAUCAGCUUUACCCCCACCAAAAUCACAAGCUGAAUGGGCUGCCAUAUCCUGCUUAGUGACCAUUAAUUAACUAACAGGAGCCUUAAUUUUUUGAAAAAACAUAACUUGUCAUUUAUAUAAUUGGAUCACAAGGAGAAUUCAAAGAUGAAAUGUGCAGUUCCUUAAAUUGUAGUUAUAGGGUGGACGGGGCGACGACGGUGGUGGUGGGGAAGGGUGUUAUCGGUGGGGCGACGGUGGUGGUGAGUGAAGGUGGACGGAGUAGUUCGCGAUGGUUGUGGUGGACUAGUGGUGCUGCGGGAGGGAACUGAAAGAAGACGGUGAGGGUUGUGAGAAAACAGAGAAAAAGAAGAUAGAGAAAAAGAAAGAGAAAGUGUGGGUGGGGGUUGUGAGAAAGUUACAUGUUUCUUUUGGACAAAAUUACCCCUUAUAUUUUAUGAAUGGACAAAAUUGCCCAUGCCACAUUGGAGGUGUAGAAGGUGGUUUGCCAUAUGGGAUUGUUCAUGUAUAACCACUCUUUUAAAAUGUAGACUCUACAAUGAUUUAAACCAAUAAAAAAGUGAGUACUAGAGAGGGUGUUUAAAAGAAAGUGUCGUUAACAUUACUCAUAAGAUAUUGAUAAAUCAACAUGUCAUCGAAUUUAUAAGCUCAAAUGUUCAUUUGCUUCCGUACUAAAGUACUAUGAUUAUAACUUUUAGUCUUUGCAUUAAGCAUAUCUUGUACCAAUUAAUGAUUGAAUUAAUUCUAACAAGUGUAUCAGAGCAAACCAUCAUGUUUGAUUUCUUGAUAUUGAGGUUGUUUGCAAAUUUUUGUUUGCAUGGGCUAUAUUCAAGUUUGGGUUUCAUGGUUUUUACUCCAAUUUAUAUGAACCCUAAAUUAUGUAAGUUGAGUUUUCUUCUCAAUGCUUAUUUAGAUAAAUUGUUACGUAUUGGAAUACACGAAUUGAUUAUUUAUUUAAAUAAUAACUAUAUUUUAAAAGUUGCGACUUUUUUAUAAAUAGGACUAAAAAAAAUUUGAAAUUUUUUUUAUAUAGAGGACCGGAGGGAGUAACAUGUUAUUUUUCAAUUGUGGAAAUCUAGUGUUCAAUUUGAAAUCAACGAUUCUACUUCUCAGAAGCUAUUGUUAUGUACUUCUGCGUUUUUCAUUUUUUGAGUGUUUGAUUUAUUUUACGAUGUUGUUUAAACAAUAUUUAUCUAAUAGUGAAAAAUGGAGGGAAAAAAACGAUUUGAAGAGUUAAUAAAAUCACAACAAGAGACUCUUGAAAAAUGAAAUAUAUUAUUUUUUUGUUUUUUAUUAAAAUAUUUUCGAAUUAAAAAAUAGUUAUAUAAAAUGAUCAUUUUCUUACAAUUUGCCUAGGGCUCAUAAAAUGUCAAGAAGGGAAAAAAGGAAUACAAAUUUUCUUUUUAUUUUGUUUAUGGGUGUAACUAUAUAACUAUGUAUGAACAAAGUGUAUAUGGAUGGUUGUUCUUGUAAAACAAAUGAAGAAAUCAUAUUUGAACAAUUUUUUUAUUAUAAAUUUUGGGAUAGUUUUCUCUCUCAUAUUUAUAUUGUAUUUUUAUUUUUUUCUUUCCACAACUUUAGUUUUUAUGUUAAUAUCUAUUUCAUUGUAUAUCUUGGUUGUCACAAAAAUUGUUCAAAUAACGUUUCUAAAAAAAGUGGAUGGUUAGUUAUUGCAUCAUAAAAAAUUGUAUUUCUUUGGUGGUUGUUAGAUUUAUUUUCAUAUCCUCGUGAGCUUAGCUCAGUUGAUGAGAACAAUGCAUAAUAUAUGCAAGCUCCGAAGUUUAAACCCCGAACACUAAAAAAAUUAUUUAUUUUAAUCAUAGUCGCUACUAUUUCAUAGAAAAAAAGAAGAACCGGUGCAAAGAAUAUAGGGUUAAAUAUGUUUUUGAUCCCUAUAAAUAUAUCAACUUUUCGUUUUAGUCCCUUUAAAAAAUUUCUUCAACUUUUAGUCCUUAUAAAAUUUUCAAUCACUACUUUUGGUCCCUAUUUUUAAGUUAAUUUUUGUAUUUUUUAAUGAAAUGUGUAGAAUAUUGGAAAAAAAAAUUCCAAAAAAAUAGAUUUUUUUUUUUGAAGAGAUUUCUGAUAAUAUUAUAAUUUUUUUUGCAAACUUUUACUCAAAAAUAUGAAUUCUACAUAUGAGUUUACUUUAAAAGAGCGAUCAAAAGUAAAGAUAUAAAAAUUUUGAGGGACUAAAAAUUGAAAAAAAAAAUUAAGGGACUAAAAUAAAAAAUUAUCAUAUUUAUAGAGACCAUAAAACAUAUUUAACCUAAAAAUAUAUAGUGAGAGAGAAGAAUAAUUUUGUCCAAAUAUAUAUACUUUGGAAUUUAUCUAAAAUUAAUCUAAAAAUUUGAAACAUCAUUUGUUCGUAUUUUUUAUACUUCGGAAUUUGUUCGGAUGUGAAAAGAAUAUACAGUGCAGAUAAUACUUACGUGACAUUGUGGUUUGUAAUAUUGGUGACAUUGAUCAACUACAAUGAAAUCAAUCAAAACUCUGAUAACUUUUUUUUUACAAUAUUUUUCCACACGCUGAUAAUAAAUCACAAUAGAAAAAUGAUUUAUACACUAUAGUACUUUAUUUUUCGACAGAUUAUACAGUAUAUAUCACUUAUUAUUACUGAUGUGAACUGAUAUGACUAUCACCAUCAUCUUUUUUGACCAAUUGUGAUAUGAUUAUCUUGGCUUCUCUCAUUUUCCUCCACAUGCGCAACUUGCCGGGGAAAAGUCUGUUCCAAAGUUUACUUUUUGAUGGAGACAAUUUUGUCAAGGAAAUAAAAAAGGUUUUUGUACUCUUAAUUGAUCACAUAACCAACACCUCACAUUUAGACACACACUUAUAAUGCUAAAAAAAUUAAAAAGAAAGUGAUUAAAGUGGUAUUGAUUGAUGUGACUAUUUUAUUUAUCUUUUAAUUUUUUAAAUUUAUGUGUGUUUAAAUUUUAUGCCUAAAUGCUUUUGGUCUCACUGAUAGCACUGGUUAAGAUAUUUGUUAGUUAAACGAGAAACUCUUACUUGCUCACAGUAUCAAUACCUCACAUUUAGACACACACUCAUAAAAUUAAGAAAAAAAAAUGAUUAAAGUGAUAUUGAUUGAUGUGAUUAUUUUAUUUAUCUUUUAAUUUAUGUGUGUGCGCCUAAAUUUUGUACCUAGAUGUUUGUGCCUACACAAUACUUUCUCUAGUUAAACUAUGUCUUACCAACAAAAGAUAUCAAUUCAGUAGUAAAAUGAACAAAUAACAAAUUGACCGCAACCCACUUGAGUUAUAUGUGGUGUUUACUUGAGAACUUAUUAAAGUGUAUUUUUUUUUAAGACCUCAUGUUAAUUUACUUCGAUGUCAAUUUUACUGGGUUAGUUUAACUUCUUAAAAAAAAAAUUGUGUCUUUCCGAUGUUGAUCAUCUCAUGACUAAAAGUAUUACCCUUAAACUAUUGGCUGAAUUACGGUUUUAGUCAUAACAAAUGAGCCAAGAACAUAAGAAAAACUUUGAAAAGUAUAACAAAAUUGGGUGUUAGUUACGAUUUAUAAGUUCAAAACUCUCACAAGAGAACAAUUACCUGAGUAAAAAUAGUACAUGGAUACACAACACGAGUAAGCUAUCCAAGGUCUCAAGUCAAUCUAAAUAGGUUAAUUAAUAUAUUAAACUUAAUCAAUAAAAAAUAAAUUUGCAAUAAUUUUUACUUAUAUAAAAUGAAAAUUCAACAAAAAAAAAUAAAAAAGAACACUAGUUAUUUAUAAAAGCUAAACAACUUUUAAGAAGUCAAAUUUAUAUAUAAUUGAUUAUAUUAUCAUAAUUUUUGUAAUAUUAUAUCUCCUUGAACAAACAAAAUUGUUUGAAGUAACCAAAUAUAUAUUCAAGAUUUGUUUUUCAUUGGGGGUAGUCAUUAUUGCUACCGCAUUUUCAUCAAACUCUUCGCCUUUAGUUGUGAUAUUAAACUUGCAAGCGAUUCUAAUGAUUUACAAGUUUAUACCUUUUGAAAAAGGGAAUUAGUUAAUAUUUUCACUAUAGUAUUUAGGCUUAAUUACACUUUUGGUCCUACCAUUUUGACCAACUCACGAAAAUAGUCCUAUCUUUUUUAAAUCAAACAAAAUCGUCCUUAAACUAUAUGUUUUUUGCUGUUUUAGUCCUACCUCCCUAUUUUUAACUCCAGAAACGUACAGAAAUGACAGUUUUAGUCAAUCACCUAUGUUCAACCAUGAAAUAAACAAAGAAUAAAACAUGUGGGUACAAGGAAUCUACUUUAUUCAGCACACUAACCUAAUUUCCGAGACAUGUUACAUAAAACAUGUCUUAGAAUUUAGGGUUUUUCUUGGUUUGUGUGCUGAACAAAGUAGAUUCCUUGUACCCAUAUGAUUUAUUCCUUGUUUAUUUCAUGGUUGAGCAUAGGUGGUUGGACUAAAACUGUCAUUUAUGUGCGUUUCUGGAGUUGAAAAUAGGGAGAUAGAACUAAAACUGCAAAAAACAUAUAGUUUAUGGACGAUUUUGUUCGAUUUAUAAAAGGUAGAACCAAUUUCCUGAGUUGGUCAAAAUGCAAUGACAAAAAGUAUAAUUAAGUCUAAUAUUUAUCGUAGAAAAUGAUGUAACAUAAUUGAAGGUAGGUUGAUAAAUAAAUAAUUAAUGGAGUUAAAAUUUUGGAAGUCAUCUUAUGAAAAUGGACAAAAAAAAUUGAGAGGAUUCCUAUUACAAGAAAAUAUAAUUACCUGAAAGCGCCAAAGAAGGUCACUGCAGGGUUUAACUUUGAAACGAUUGUUAUAGAAAUGUUGACGUGCUUUUUCAACUUGAGCUCUCUCCUCAGAAGUACCAGCAUUUGGAUCAAACUCCCAUGUCUGCCUCCCUAAAAAGUUAUUUGUACUGAAUAUGUGUGGAUCAUUCCCCCCAUCUGCUAUCUUCAGCCUCCACAUCUUAUAUAAUAUAUCA